UUUAAAAAAACUAUUAAAUUUUUCAACUUUAUUAUUAAUUUUUUUUGGACUAUUAAAAAAGUGGGAUAGACAUUUUCUCUCUGUCUCUCUAAUUUGCAGUUUCAUCCUGACAAUAAACUGAUUUUAGAUGUAAUUUUUUUAGAAGAUAAGAUGUAAAUAUUUUACCAUUUAGGCAAUAAACCAAUAGCUUAAGAGUAAUUUACAAAUAAAAUAAAAUAAAAACUUUAGAUUAAUAAUUCAAUACAGAGCUUUCCUAAGCUCACAAACUUCAUAAUGGCAAUACUAUUCUCUCUGCUUACAUUGUCGAAAAUGUACAAAUUAAUCCAAAUAUACAAACAAAAUCCUAUAUAUUAUACACUUGAUUUUGAUGAAUCAUAAGACAUAUGCAUGAAGAGGAAAGUCAAGGAAGGGGAGGAGUUCCUUCGGGGAGGCCAGUCCCAGAAAGAGUAGGAGCAUCAGUGGCACCACCGCCAUGAUUGGGCUUGACUUGUCGGUGUCCUUCUGUUCCAUAACCCUGGCGCUUGUAGUCUUCCAAAUCCUGGCAUCUCAAAUAAGGACUGCUCUGUAGAGGCAAACCCUCUGUCAUUGCCUUCUUUUCCUCAAUUUCUGCCUUUCUUCUUUCCAUUUGCUCGCUACCACUCUCCAUCUCUCAACUGUUUGUGUCUCUGUCUCUGUUUCCUUAAAUUUGUUUUUGUGUUCCGCAGCCAAAUACAUUAUUAUAUAUAAACACAAUGCAUGAAGGAAAGAAGGAAAGAAAUGGCGUCCAUGGAGUUGCAAGAUUUUAGUUAAAAGACCCGUAUCUUACGAGCCCUUAAUUUGACUUUUUCAAUCCAGCUGGUUAACCAGCAAUUUAAAGGCUGAAUAGGAAAAGUGAAUAAUUUCAGGAAGGGGUCACCAACCAGAGUAGUGUAGAAAGUAAUAAAUUGUUUGGGACCAGAUUGGCUCUUGUCUUCGUUAAUUUUCCAAUAUUGUCUUUUUCAGACAAAUAAGAAGAGGACAGCAGCAACCGAACUUUCUUCUCUUCUCUUAACUCUUAUCCUUAGCCACAUUUUGUACCCGAACGAUAUAUUUCUGGUUUUUGAAGGAACAUCAAUUACCACAUAUUAAUCAAUCUUUCAUGGCACUUUCUCCACCUCAAAAAGACCUUCCAAGAAAACAAACAGACAAACAUGUGAAUCCCCUUAUCCAUUCUCACUCAUCUAUGCAAAGUGCAAACCAAACCCACCUGUCACGCCAUUGCCUCUGCACCAUCUUUCUUUGUUAUGGCAGCAGCAGAAUAUUCAGGUAGGAGGAAUUCCAAUACUCAGCUUCUCGAAGAGCUGGAAGCACUCAGUCAGUCUCUCUACCAAACCCACACUAGCACCAACCGGAGAACUGCCUCACUUGCACUUCCUCGAACUUCAGUUCCCUCUCUUACUUCUCUAGAUGAGACCACCACAGCAAAACUUGAUGAGAAAUCCACCUCCAAACCUCGAUCCAGGCGAAUGUCCUUAUCACCAUGGCGUUCUCGACCAAAGCCUGAUGAUGAUAACGCCACCAAGCCAUCUAAUCAACCGGAAGCCAAGAAGCUGGAGGAAACAGCAGCUUCAACACAGAAGAAAGGAAUUUGGAACUGGAAACCAAUACGUGCUCUUUCUCAUAUUGGGAUGCAGAAACUGAGCUGUUUGUUCUCGGUUGAAGUAGUUGCUGUACAAGGUCUUCCAGCUUCGAUGAAUGGCCUCCGGCUUUCUGUUUGUAUUAGGAAGAAGGAAACCAAAGAUGGUGCAGUUCAAACCAUGCCGUCAAGAGUUUCACAGGAAGCUGCUGAUUUUGAAGAAACCUUGUUUGUCAAGUGCCAUGUCUACUGCUCUCCAGGAGGCAAUGGAAAGCAGCCGAAAUUUGAGCCUCGUCCAUUUUGGAUUUAUGUGUUUGCAGUUGAUGCUGAAGAGCUUGAUUUUGGGAGAGGUUCAGUGGACUUGAGUCAACUUAUUCAGGAAUCCAUGGAGAAGAAUCGAGAAGGUACUAGGAUUCGUCAAUGGGACACAAGCUUCAAUCUAUCUGGAAAGGCUAAAGGGGGAGAACUUGUUCUGAAAUUGGGAUUUCAGAUUAUGGAAAAGGAGGGAGGAGUUGAUAUCUAUAAUCAAGCUGCCGGAUUGAAGCCAAGCAAAUCCAAAACUUUCACUUCUUCUUUUGGCUGUAAACAAUCCAAAACAUCAUUCAGUAUCCCCAGUCCAAGGAUGUCAGGUCGAAGCGAAGGUUGGACUCCUUCUCAGACAAAAACAGCUGCUGAUCUUCAAGGAAUAGAUGACUUGAAUCUUGAUGAGCCAGCUCCAGUUCCUUCGCCUUCUCCCCGAGUUCAGAAAUCAAAACCACCAGAACCAAAGAUUGAAGAACUUGAACUCCCAGAAUUCGAUGUUGUGGAUAAAGGAGUUGAAAUUCAAGAGAAACAAGAGUCUGAAGAAAAUGUCAAAGUAAAGUCAGCAUCAUCAAGUGAGGUUGUUAAGGAGAUGGUACAGGAUCAGUUACAUCUUUCGAGAUUAACUGAGCUUGAUUCCAUUGCUCAACAGAUAAAAGCUCUUGAAUCUUUGAUGGGAGAAGAAAAAAUAAUUAAGAUGGAGGAUGAAACUGAAUCACAGAGACUAGACGCAGAUGAAGAGACAGUAACUAGAGAAUUUCUUCAAUUGCUUGAGGAUGAAGAGCUGAAUACUUACAAAUUUAAUCAACCCGAAAUUCCUCCUUUGCAGCUUGGAGAAGCUGAUGAAUCUAUGGAGGCUGAAUCCAAAGUGUAUCUAUCUGAGCUUGGGAAGGGUUUAGGGUGUAUAGUACAAACAAAGAAUGGAGGCUACUUAGCAGCCAUGAAUCCUCUGGAUACGGUUGUGGAAAGGAAAGACACUCCAAAGUUAGCUAUGCAGUUAUCAAAACCAAUUAUUAUUCCAUCUCACAAAUCCUUGAGUGGGUUUGAAUUGUUUCAAAAAAUGGCAGCUGUUGGUUUUGAGGAACUCAGCUCCCAAAUUUUGUUGCUGAUGCCUAUGGAUGAACUGAUGGGGAAAACUGCAGAACAAAUAGCAUUUGAAGGUAUAGCUUCUGCAAUCAUCCAGGGAAGAAACAAAGAAGGUGCCAGUUCCAGUGCCGCUCGUACCAUUGCUUCAGUAAAAACCAUGGCAACGCAGAUGAAUGCAGGCAGGAAAGAGAGGAUUUCAACAGGAAUCUGGAAUGUAGAUGAAAAUCCAUUGACGGCAGAGGAAAUUUUGGCAUUCUCGAUGCAGAAGAUUGAGGCAAUGUCCAUUGAGGCAUUGAAAAUUCAGGCAGAAAUGGCAGAUGAAGAUGCACCAUUUGAUGUUUCUCCACUCAAUGGAAAGACAAAUACAGAUGGUGAGAAAGAAUACAAUCACCCUCUAGCUUCAGCAAUACCACUUGAGGACUGGAUCAAAUAUACUUCCGAUGGUAAGUCAGAGGAACCAGCAACAAUCACAUUAGCGGUGGUUGUCCAACUACGGGAUCCUUUGAGACGCUAUGAGGCAGUUGGAGGCCCAGUAGUAGCACUCAUUCGUGCAACCUGCGCAGACAUAAAAAUAGACAAGUAUGAUGAGGAAAUGAAAUUCAAAGUGGCUAGUCUACAUGUUGGAGGCUUGAAGCUCAGUACAGGAGGAAAGAGGAAUAUGUGGGAUACAGAGAGGCAGAAGCUGACAGCAAUGCAGUGGUUGGUGGCAUAUGGACUGGGAAAGGGAGGGAAAAGGGGAAAACAAGUGUUGGUGAAGGGGCAAGAUCUGUUGUGGAGCAUUUCCUCGAGAAUAAUGGCUGACAUGUGGCUCAAACCAAUGAGAAAUCCGGAUAUAAAAUUUGCGAAGUAGAGAAGCAAAUCUAGAGUGAAUUGUUCUUACAUUUUAUUCACAUUACGCCUUUCAUGCACCAACAACAAAGCUUUCUUGUUAUAAUGCAAGGUACUGCAAAAAGCAUCAUCAAAAUUCUAGAGAUAGUAUGUUUUUCAUGUAUAAGAUUUGUUUCAUUUGUAAGUACCUUCUGUUCAAUAUCUCCAUAAUGGAAAACAGUCCCGUGAUUUCAGUUCUUUCUAUUCAUUAAAAAAGAAUAAAAAAUAAAAACUAUCGCAUAUGGCAUCAAAAAUAUUGCAUGCAACAUUCAUAUAUUCACGGAAAAAGAUCAGAGAGAAACAGUCAAUAACCAAUAGAUAAUUCAUACCUUUACGUAACCAGUGAUCUCCAUAAAAACCAACAUCUUUCUUGAAAUUACAAGAUGCAUAUCCUUUCGUGACCACAACUUGACUUGAUGUAAAAGAAAUCGACGUGGCUACCAGUUGAUAAUCAUAGAAAGCUCAGAGAUUCUUCAUUACUUGGCCACACAUCCUCAAAGGUGUGUUGAUUGAUCCAUGCAAGCUUCUUGUUGCUAUAGCUCCAAGAACCCACAGGACUAACUGGGGCAAAAUAGCAUCUUGUACCUUCUAUCUCACUAUAAAUGUUGUCUAACAUGGCAUAAAUGUCCUUGAUCUGAGGGUGAUUAGUCUCAUCUGCAGUGAACACAUGUACCCCGUUUUUAACUUCUAUCCAGCUACAACCAGGAUUCUUCUGGAUCCCUUUCUCUCUCAUCUUUUUUCUCACAUCUGCAACACCUUCAAAUUUUCCACAAUCUGAAUAUAUGUGUGCUAGAAGUAUAUAACUUCCACAGUUAUCCACAUCCAAAUCGAGCAAGUUCCUCGCUGCAAAUUCUGCCAAUUUCGUGUUGCAAUGAAUCUUGCAAGCACUGAGUAAAGCUCCCCAAACAUCAACAUUUGGCUUAAAAGGCAUUUCAUCAAUCAAAUCUUUAGCCUGCUCUAGCAACGCAGCCCUGCCAAGUAGGUCAACCAUGCAUGCAAAAUGCUCAUUUGUCGGAUAGAUGCCAUAAUCCUUAGUCAUGGAGUGAAAGUAAUGUUUCCCUUCUGUUACAAGCCCUGCGUAACUACAACCUGAUAGAACAGAUACGUAGCUUAUAUGAUCGGGUGUACAUUCCAUCUUGAUCAUAUUCUCAAAAAUCUCUAUCACCAUCCUACCUUGACCAUUCUGGGCAUAUCCAGCCAUUAUGGAAUUCCAAGAAACCAAAUCUUUCAUACAUAUGGAAUCAAAAACUUCUCGUGCUUUUUCAAUUUGUCCACAUCUUGAAUACAUGGUAACAACACUAUUUGCAACCGAAACAUCAGAACAAAACCCUAACUUUUCAGCUUGAGCUACAAUUUGGAUUCCAUGUUUCAAACUUGCUAAAUCCGCGCAGGCACUGAUUGAAGUUGCAAAACUAAUAUCAUCUGGCAUAAUGCACUCCCUUUGCAUCCGGACAUACAAUUUGAGACCACAUUCUAAAAAUCCAUGUUGCAUAUACAUGCUUAUGAUGGAGUUCCAAGUUAUGACAUUCCGUUCAGGCAUUUUAUCAAAAUAAGCCUGUGCUUUCUCAAUAUCACCUACUUGAGAGAAUGCAGUGAUUAUAGAUGUCCACGUUAUUAUAUUUCUGACUGGCAUCAUUUCAAACACAUUAUUUGCGUUCUGAGUAUCACUGCAUUUUGAGUACAUUGUAAUAAGAGCAUUCCCCACUGGAACAAAGGAAACAAUUCCAGUCUUCAUUACGAAUGCAUGAAGUUGUCUGCCGACAGAUAUACAGGUCGGACGUGAACAAAGCUUCAGAACUAUUGCAAGAAUAAAUUCGUCCAGGGCAACAGGAACCUCUCUCAUUUGGCUAAAUAGCUGUAAUGCUUCUUCUUCAAGGCCACACUUUGCAAAUCCACCAAUCAAAGAAGUCCAUGAAACUGCAUUAUACUCUGAUAAACUGUUAAAUACCCGCCUAGAAAAUUCUAAAUGUCCACAUUUUGCAUACAUAUCAAUCAGACCAUUACCGACAUAAACAUCAACGACGGGUUCUACUCGAAUAAUCCGAGCAUGCAAAUGGGUACCCCAUUCCAGGUCACAAAUGCUCGCAGAAGCACUAAGAACACAAGCAUAUGUCAUGGAAUUGGGCCGAAAACCUUGAGCCCACAUGUGAACAAACAUAUCAAGAGUUGGAACCCCAAAUCCAUGCUGAGACAAGAUAGAAAUAAUUGUGUUCCAAGACACACUGUCUCGUUCAGGCAUUUGGUUGAACAUCUCAAGAGCCCUUCCAACACCAAAAGAUUUAGAAUAACCAUAAAUCAUACUAUUAAAGCAAAACAAACUUGGAUUUGGGAUCAUCAAAAACACUCGCUCUGCAUAGCUCACUGCAUCAGUCUUAAUAUACAUAUCCAUAAUGGAUGUUUUAAUUGAAGUGUCACUUCCAAAAUCAAAUUUCUCCACAAGCCCAUGCAACUGAAAAGCCAAUUUGAUAUAACCAAGAGCACCACAAGCCUUCAUAGCACAGGAGAAGGACAGAAGGUUAGCUAAACAUGUACAGUUUCGUAUCAGAGAAACGAAAACCUUUAAAGUUUCUUCAGGUUUCUCAUUUCGAUAAUAAACGGACAUCAUAGAGUUCCAAGAAACAGAGUCUCUUGCAGGCAUUUCCUCAAACAACUUCUUCGCUUCCCCUAUUAGACCCGCGUUACCCAACCCAUAGAUGACCGUGUUAUAGCUGAAAACGUUGCGAAACCCCAUCUCAGCGAAAAUCCGACAAGCGUCAUCGACUAAGUCGCAAUUGAAAUACAUGUUCAAAAGAUGGUUUUGAAGGAAAACGGAACAGUCUAAUCCUGCUGAGAUCAAUUGGCCAUGAAGUUUUCGAGCGAUGGGUAUUGACACACAUUCUUUCAUUGCUUCGUAGAAUUUCAGAGAGAGUUGCGGGUAAGAAGCUUGUUGAGCAGAGGGAGUGUUUUGCUGAUUCGAGAAGGAACGAAGAAGAGGAUGAGAUAGGCGCGGGAAAUGAUGGUUUAUGAAUCGGCGCCAUGAGAGUUUGGUAAUCAUUCAAGACUUGGUUUUAUUUGGUCGUGUACUAUUGUGCGGGAAAUUAAGCAAUCCGUUUAACGGGCAAAUAAAAUGCGCGAGAUAGGACUAAACGGUGUCGGUUUUGGUUUAGAAAUAAAACGACGCGGUUUAAUCUCGGUCGUGGAAAUGGAAUUAUAUGUGGACAUCAUUACUAUAGACAUUGAAUCAGACUGAAUUACUUGUUGUUGCUUUUCUUUAAUUAAAUAUUUCUUAAUAGAUAAUUUUUAAUUAAAUUUAAAUAUUAUUCUUUAGUAAUAUUUGUCUUUUUUUUAGAAAAAAUAUAUAUUGAAAUAUAAUAUUUUUUAAUAUUAGAUAUGAAUUACAUUGGUUAUUACCAUAAUAAUUUCGAUAAAGAAUUAGUCAUUUAAUGAUAUAAUAUAAUUUUAAUAUUAUGAUUAUAAUUAAAUUCAAAUAUUAGUUCUUUUAAUGUUAAUUAUAAAUUAUAAAUUUUUAAUAUUUUUAAUUGAAUUUGUAAGUUCAAAUAUUAGUUUUUUAAUAAAGCCAUUAGUUAUAAAAUAGGUCUUUCCCAACUCAAAAGAAUAUUUAAAUUAAAAAAAUUUAUUUCAAAUCUUAUAUUCAAAUCAUACAAGAAAAAAAAAUAAAAAAAAUACAAUUCGUAUAAAAUCUUAAUAAUAAAAUUAUUAAAUUUCACAAAAUCUAAUAUUCAGAUAUAUAAUUUUCUACUAGUGUCCAAUUUAUUAUUAAAAAUGAAACAUUCUUGCCUUAAAUGUGUUGUGGGUCCCUUAGACAUGUGGGAUCCGUGUACAUUUGAAAAGAAAAAAAUAUAUAAAACACGUUUUUUGUUUUGAUGGCAGUCAAAGAGGGACUACCAAACAAAGAAGAAAAAAAAAAAAAGUACAUUCAUUUUGUUAUUCAAAGGACGGUGCCAAAGAAAGAAAGAAAAAAAGGAAAAAUAGACGUCUGAUUAACGCGUCCACUGCAUUCCCUUCUCCUAUUUUAUAGGAGAAGGUUUUCCUUCAUUAAGGUGUACAAAAACAAAAUAUAUAGAAUAGGAAUACACUAUUGAGUGUAGAAAAUUUUAGGAAAGAGUUCCUAAAAUUGUGAAAGAGGGAAAAUAGUGAGGAUUGAAAUUUUGGGUGUUUUUGUUAAACACUUAAGGUACCACUAUUUUUGUAAUCUCUCUUGUACCUACUAUUUUUAGUAGAAGAAUUAUUCAGAGUUUUUGUCCGUGGAUACAGCCCAUAACAGUUGAAGGGUGAACCACGUAAAUAUCGGUGUUCUUAUUUUUUUUUAUCUGGCAUUUACGGUAAUUAUUUAAUUUUUACCGUGAUUAUUAUUUCUGGUGGAUUCGAUCGUCAAUAUUCAAUAUUUAAUUAUUGGAGAUAUAUGUGGUAAUAGUAAUUUUAUUUUACUUUACCAUCAGUAUUUUUCUACGGACCCCACUCGGGAUAAGUUAGAAUCUCAACAAUAUUCAGAUAUAUAAUUUUCUACUAGUGUCCAAUUUAAUAUUAAAAAUGAAACAUUCUUGCCUUAAAUGGCCAAGAACACUUUUUUUUUUGUUUUGUAAUUGAUUACAAUUAUAACACAACCCAAUAAGUUAACGAAGUCUUGACCUAACAGCGAAAGCAAAAAUCUUUGGAGUUUGGGUUUGAAUCUCACCCCUAAAAAGUCACUUCUACCCCCAUUAAUUUGUAACUUCACUUAAGAAUAAAAUUUUUUUUAUAGAAAUGAUAGAGAAACGUUACAAAUAACAGUGGAAAAUCAACAUGCUAACUAUAGAGUAUUAAAUUUUUUUCUAAACUAAUAUAUAAAGGUUUCAAUUAAAUAUAAAAAAUUAAUCUAUACUUGACACCUUUAAAUAAAAAUAAACUAUAUCAAUUAAUUAUUCAUAGACUUACCAUAAGCAGCAUGUUAUCUCUCUAUAUAGUAAAAUAUCCAUCAAAUAACACAUUUUUCUUCCGCAAGGUGCAAAGCAAUAAUAAAUCUAAUGCUUUAGUUAUUUUUAGACAAUAAUUUAUUUUUUAAAAAUAUUUUUUAAAAUUUUAUUUUCUAUUAUUUGAUUAAAAUAUUAAAAAUUAGUUAAAAUAUAUUAAAAUUCAUUAUUUAAAGACAAUAAUUUAUUUUUAAAAAAUAUUUUUCAUAAUUUUAUUUUCUAUUGUCCGAUUAAAAUAUUAAAAUUUAAUUCAAAUGUAUUAAAAAUCUAUUAUUUAAAUAAUAAAAUAAAAAUAGUAAGACUUUAAGGUAUCGUUUAUCAAAGAAUUUAAAAAUUAUUUAUAGCAAAAGUUGAAUAAAUUAUUAAUUAUGGGAAAACAUAAAUUUACUUCACAAAAUGAAUAAAAUUUAUAGUAAUUUUAUAAAAGUGAAAAUUAAGAGUCCCAUAACAUUUUUUUUUUUUAGCAAAAGAUAUUUUUGUUUUAUUUAUAUCUCAAAUAUUUAGUCUCUAUAGCUUCCAAUAAUACAAUUCCUUUAAUCAAAUGAGGCAAAGAAUUAAAAGAGGUAAAAGAAAGAGAAAUAUGAUGAAGUCUAUGAUGAGUAGCCAAAAGAUGUACGACUUGAUUUCCUUCACGAUAUAUGUAAUGAAUUGAAGAAGAGUGAAGAUACAACAAGUCAGCAAUACGCAGUAAAACCGAAGGACCUGCUCUAAUCCAUUGUGUCCGAUUAACAUGAGCAACUAGUUCCAGACAAUCCAUUUCCACCUGACGGGGAUAAAAAAACCUUUAUCAAUAUUCCAAGAAAGUCCCAUAACAUUUUUCACAGAAAUACAUAAAUAAAUUUAUAUAUAUAAUGUAUAAUCUUUGGAACAAAUCAUAAAAAAUUUAAUUCAUGUGUGAGUUGUCAUGCAAUUUUGUGAAAUGAUGGGAAAGAAAGAAAGAAAGAAAGAAAUGCUAUUCCAUUUUGUAAUUUAGCAAUUCAAUUGGGACAUGGUUAAUGAUUUUUGGAGCCCAAUACCCACAUCUUCGGCAUAAUAAUUGAUUUUUUUUUUUUUAAUAUAUCUAAGCUAAAGUGAUAAACAAAAAUAUCUUUAUAUUUUUGUUAUAUAAAAAUUAUUUAGUUUAAAAGUUUCUAUUGCCCAUCUCUUUAAAUACUUUUUUUUUAUGAAAUAAUUAUAUACAUAUCCCUUUUAAUUGUUUUUAUCAUAAAUAUAUUUGUUUGUUAUAAACAAAUAAAAUCGAUAAAUUUUGUACUCGUGUUAGGUGAAAUUCGUUUACGUAAAAAUCAUUUAAAUUUAGAGAAAGAAAAUGUUAAAAUGUUUAUUUUUUUUUAAAUUAUGAAUUUUAUGAAAGCAGAGGUAAAAAGAAUAUAAAAAAAAAUAUAGUAAAAAGAGGACAAAGAAGAGAAAAUGGGAAAUGGCUUUCCAAUGGUUAAGGAGUCAAAAAUAGUAUACACCUCGUCAAGCAGGAAGGAGAGAGCAGCACAUGGGGGUUCUAUAGCAAAAUUUGGCUGGACAUAGAGAAUCAGUUCAGAUCGGACGUAAGUCAGAGAAAGAAAUGGUUGUGAUCGGUAAACAUGAACUCAGAUCAAACGUAAGUGGACAAGCUGACAAGCUCCAAUCUAUCCCAUGUGGCUUCACGGACGUUUUAGCUAAUAGUCUUGUUUUGCAGAUUGAUUGCCUCAUCUUGACCUUCACCUUUCUUCCUCCUCUUGACAGGUAGUUUUCUUCCUGGCUCACUUGUUAAUUUAUAUUUAUAUAUAUUUAUUCAUUCUAAUUAUAAUAAUUAAAAUUGAUCCAAGCAUAAUUAAACCAAACAGCACACUUCAAUUUAAUAUUUUUUUUUUUACUCGUUGGAAGACACAGUAACCCGAAAUAAUACUCGUUAGCUAAUAUGAAUACUCGAUUAUUAUAAUACAUGUUUUUAAAUAUCUCCUGUAAAAAAUAAAUAAUAAUUUUCUACUGAAAUAAAUAAAUAUAAAAAAUGUGAGAAUGGUUUGCAUAUAAAGUCAUUUAAAGCCAUUGAAAUUUCCAAAUUGAAUGAAUAUAAUAAAUAUUGCCAUUGCGAUCUCAAUCAGAUUUAAUUUCAGAUUUUUGUUUUGACAAAAGAAUUAAAAAUUUGAAAGGUCGACAAUUGGAUAUUCUUUUUUUUUUUUUUUUUUUUUUUUUUUUUUUGUGAGAAUCUGAUAAUAUAAAGAAUGGCAAUUUGACAGCGAAAAAAUGGUGACUUUACGUAGAAAGGCAUGUUCCCUCGAUUUUACCUGGGAGGACUCAAAUUAUCUUUAUUUAAAAAAAAAAAGGGAAAAUAUAUAUUAGUCCAACGGAACGGUAGAUGUUAAAUUCUUACAGGCCAAGUACAGUUCAGAUCCUCGCGGCGUAUUGCUUCGAUCAUUAUUGUUAUUGAUACAGAGAGGGAGAGUUGGGAUAGGGAAGCUAAAUAAUAAUGGAGUAAAUUAAAAAUAACGACAAUAUCUAUCCUCGAUUGCUUGGUUGAUCCAUUUGGAAGCCACAGUAGGUUCCAGACCCCUGUGCCAUUUUAUAUAUAUAUAUAUAUAUAUAUCUUUGUUUCUUGUUCAUAUUAUAGUUUUCUGCCUGGAUUUAACACUGUGAAGUAGCUCUGGAACCUCCCGUGGUUUCUUUUUUUUUUUUUUUUUUUUGGGGUUUUUUUAUAUCCAGGUAAUGUAUGCUUUACUAUCACUAACUCGUGCAUAUGGAGCAAGAGCAGUGGAGUGGGCCAAGGAGUGUGUUUCGCUAAUUCCGUUGACUGGUGAAUCUGGGUUACCGAGUUAACGAAGUAAACUCCGUUACGUGAGUGAGUGAGUGGCGAGUUUUUGGCGGGUGUUGGGUUGGCGUUGAAGGUUUGUUGGGAAAAGGGUAUAAUUAAUCUCAGUUUCAAUAAUCAAAACGGGCUUCUUUUUCUUCUAUUUGCCAGAUUAAAUUUUAACUCUUCUCCCUCUAUUUUACUUCCUAUUCCCUUUUUAAACACUUGUCUAUACCCUAAGAUUCCAUACCCUAAGAUUCUAUCACUUGGUCACUGAUAAUUUCUUAUCUCUUUUGUACAGAGACUAAAAUCUUACAGUGGCAGUACGCUGUACUCUUAACGGUCUCUCUCUCUCUCUCUCUCUCUUCUUGGGAAACAGUAGCUAAGUCUUUGCUUGUUUAUUUAUUUGAGCGGUGUCCGCUUUUUGCUCACUGUCUCAGUGUCAAGUCUCAUCUGACCUUUUUGGGCUGUCAAUAGGUGAGUAAUCUAAGGAGAUCUCAAUUUCCUGAUUUGUUCUAUGUGCUGCUGAUGUUGAAUUGGCUUGUAUUUUCCUCUUAAUCGAGAAAGUUUAUUAAUUUAUAUCUUGUUUUUAUAUUUUGUAAAAUUGUUGAGUAUAUACUGCUUUGACUGCUAUGACAGAUUGAUUCAAUUCUUUUAUAGUUAUAUUGGUUCGCUGAUGAGUGCAAUAGAUCUGAAAUAUGGUGUAUAUGAUGCGUUUGGUUUUCUUGCAGGUUAGUUUGAUUUAUUGGUUACAAGAUGAACGGAGCUGUACUAGUGGCUAUUGCUGCUUGCAUUGGCAGUUUCUUGCAAGGAUGGGAUAAUGCUACUAUUGCUGGUACUUUUCUUCUUUGAACGUUAAUCUUAUUUUAUAUUUGAUCUUUCAAAAACGAUCAACAAAUGUUUGAGUUGAAAAUGAAAUUUUUGGAAGUUAGGACGUGUAUCUAUUUUCAUCCAAGUAUGAAGGUCUUUUGAAGUUUGUGGUAAUUGUAAUCUUAGUUUGCGUAGUGGCUUUAUUGUAUCUCAUUGUGGAAUUAUUGAAUUGAUGCAGUUCUGCAAUUUUCUUUCUACAUUUUCAGGGGCUAUUGUUUACAUCAAGGAUGACCUUGACCUGCAAACUACUGUGGAAGGUCUAGUUGUGGCUAUGUCACUUAUAGGAGCCACAGCAAUCACAACCUGCUCAGGAGCAAUAUCGGAUUGGCUUGGUCGGCGUCCAAUGCUAAUAAUGUCAUCCAUGCUCUACUUUGUCAGUGGAUUGAUAAUGAUUUGGUCACCAAAUGUCUAUGUCCUGUGUAUAGCAAGGCUUUUAGAUGGAUUUGCCAUUGGCUUAGCUGUUACACUUGUUCCAGUCUAUAUAUCUGAGACUGCUCCAUCAGAUAUAAGGGGAAUGUUAAAUACACUUCCUCAGUUUACUGGUUCGGGUGGUAUGUUUUUGUCUUAUUGUAUGGUUUUUGGAAUGUCAUUGACAUCCUCGCCAAGUUGGAGGUUGAUGCUUGGGGUUCUUUCUAUACCUUCUCUACUAUAUUUUGCGUUGACGAUUUUUUAUUUGCCCGAAUCUCCUCGAUGGCUUGUGAGUAAAGGGAGGAUGCUCGAGGCAAAACGGGUUCUCCAGAGAUUGCGAGGAAGGGAGGAUGUCUCAGGUUUGUUUAUUUUCAUCCUUUCUUUUUUUUUACACAUCAUUUUCUAUUUUCACUUUUUAGGAUAGGAAAAAGGGUUUCUACCUUGCUUUUUUUAGCAGUCACCAGGAAUUAAGGUGCAUAUUUGCUUAUUAUUUCAAAUGAAUCUUGAGAUAAGAGUUUCCAUGUCUGAUCACAAUGAGUUGAUUCCCUGGGAACUGAUGUCUGGAAUACCCUGGCUACUAACUUAUAAUGACUUUGUAGGUCAACUUGAAAUUUUAUUGGUCAAAAUCAAAAUUAAAGUCUUGCAUAAUUAGUAAACUAAAAACUUGACACAUUCUUGAAUUUUUCGAUAAUUUGGGGUUACUUAUUGGAAGCAUCAAAGCUCUCUCUAUUUCUCUUCCUAGUUAUUUUAUUAUUUCAUAUUAUCCAUCACUUCCAUAAUUUUCUUUUGCAUGAGCACCUGAUACUUCUUUUUACUGGUCUUGACAGAUGCACAUUUUUAUUCUUAACAGAAUGUCAUGUUCAUUUUGAUGGUGAUUGAAACCAUUUUCUAAUGAAAAUUCUGAUCUGCUUAGAGUCUGAUGAACUUUCUUACUUUUGAGUUCAAGUUUGAGAAUUGUUUUCCUGUUUUGUGCCCCUUUGAACUUUGAGGAGCCUUGACUAGACAGGAAUAUCUACAUGCUUUUGUCUCAGAUGAAAAUAAUAUGCAAUGGUUUUUCAAUACGGGUCCAUAUGUUGCAACUUACCGACACCCAACUGUGGGAAUUUCUAAUAAUCAUUUUUCCAUUUAAGUAGCUUGACAAUUUUAUCAAGUGGAUUUUUCUAUUAUCCACAGGUGAGAUGGCUUUGUUGGUUGAAGGUCUUGGCAUUGGUGGUGAAACAUCUAUUGAGGAGUACAUAAUAGGCCCAGCAGAUGAACUUCCUGAUGGUCAUGGACCCACUGCUGAGAAAGAUAAAAUCAAAUUAUAUGGACCUGAAGAGGGUCUCUCCUGGGUUGCUAAACCUGUCACUGGACAGAGUUCUCUUGCUCUAAUAUCUCGCAACGGAAGCAUGGUGAACCAAAGUGUGCCUCUAAUGGAUCCUCUAGUGACUCUAUUUGGUAGUGUUCAUGAGAAGCUUCCUGAAACAGGAAGCAUGCGAAGCAUGCUUUUCCCUAAUUUUGGUAGCAUGUUUAGUACAGCAGAACCUCAUGUUAAGCAUGAGCAUUGGGACGAAGAGAGCCUACAGAGGGAAGGUGAGGACUAUGCAUCAGAAGGAGCUGGAGGAGACUCAGAUGACAAUUUACAUAGUCCAUUGAUCUCACGUCAGACGACAAGCAUGGAAAAGGAUAUGCCACCCCCUCCUUCUCAUGGCAGCAUUCUGAGCAUGAGGCGCCAUAGCAGUCUCAUGCAGGGAACUGGGGAGGCAGUAGGUAGUACAGGUAUUGGUGGUGGUUGGCAGUUGGCAUGGAAAUGGUCUGAGAAAGAAGGCGAAGAUGGAAAGAAGGAAGGAGGAUUUAAAAGGAUUUAUUUGCACCAGGAGGGAGCUCCUGGUUCUCGUCGUGGGUCUAUUGUUUCACUUCCAGGUGGUGAUGCGCCUGAAGAUGGUGAGUAUGUACAAGCUGCUGCGCUAGUAAGUCAGCCCGCUCUUUAUUCCAAGGAGCUUCUUGAUCAACAUCCAGUUGGACCUGCAAUGGUUCAUCCAGCUGAAACUGCUAAAAAGGGGCCAUUUUGGGAUGCUUUACUUGAUCCAGGAGUUAAGCAUGCAUUGAUUGUUGGGAUUGGAAUUCAAAUGCUUCAGCAGGUAGUCCAUUUGAUUCAUUAACUUUUUCCCUCUUCUUCCAGUUAAUUGAAUUGAUAUUAACAAAAGUAUUAUCCCAUUCCACUUUGUGGAUUUAUCAUGAAAUAUAGUAAAUAACUGAAGCUUUUUUUUCCAUGCUUGCAGUUUUCUGGUAUAGGUGGUAUUCUUUAUUAUACUCCUCAAAUUCUUGAACAGGCAGGUGUGGAAGUUCUACUUGUGAACCUGGGAGUCAGUUCAACAUCUGCCUCAUUCCUUAUUAGCGCAUUCACGACAUUGCUGAUGCUUCCUUGUAUAGCUGUAGGUAUGAGGCUUAUGGAUGUCUCAGGCAGAAGGUGAUUUCUUGUUCUGCAUUUGAUUUGCAUAUUUUUUUGUUCUCAUUCAGAAGUCCCUUACUCAUUCUGCCACCCAUUUGUCUGACAUGGAACCCCCAUAUAUGUCUUUUCAUUUGAAAAGGUCAUUUUAUUAAAAGAAUUCUUCCCUUCUUGCAGGACGCUGUUACUCACCACACUUCCUGUGCUCAUAGGCUCACUUGUUAUCCUAUUAAUUGGCCAACUCGUGGACUUGGGCACGGUUGCCAAUGCAGCAAUCUCAACAGUUUGUGUUGUCAUCUACUUCUGCUGUUUUGUAAUGGCUUAUGGGCCAAUCCCAAACAUCCUAUGCUCUGAGAUCUUCCCCACGAGGGUUCGUGGCCUCUGCAUUGCCAUUUGUGCCUUAGUGUACUGGAUAGCAGAUAUCAUUGUUACUUACACUGUGCCUGUAAUGCUAAAUUCAAUUGGCUUAACGGGUAUCUUUAUCAUCUUUGCCAUUAUGUGCGCCAUCUCUUGGGUCUUCGUCUUCUUGAAGGUCCCUGAAACCAAAGGCAUGCCCCUUGAAGUCAUUACAGAGUUCUUUGCUGUUGGGGCGAGACAAGUUGCUGCUGCCAAGAACGAGUGAUUGACAAAAGCUUGUAUGGACUGUUGAUUCUUCUGCAGUUUGAGCUGCUAAAAUUGUUAUUAUAUUGAGAAUGAAGAUCUCAUAAUUAAACUAUUAAAUUUAAUUCGUUUCAAAAUUUUUCCAUUUUCAUAUGAUAAUGUUAAAUAUAGAUAUAGUUUGAUUCAGAUUAAUGUCCUGUUCUUUGAUCUGUGUACCAUUGCAUUUUUAAGUAGAGCUUCUCAGUCAAAGGGCAUGAAAUGUGACACCGAGGUCCCAAUAGUGCUUUUGAGUUAAAUUUGGUAUGAGCCAAGUGGAUAAUUCUGGUUCAGUUGGAGGCAUUUGAAUGAAUUUAUACAAGCUGGCUGAAACUUUCUGCAAUGCGCAUUUUGUAAUCCGUUGGAGCUUGACAGGCUUCUGGUAAUUCUUUAGGUCAUUUAGAGAACAUUUUAAUAGUAGCUAAUUUGCAUUUAUAUCUUAAUUAAUAUUUUUAUUUAUAUUGCAUAUUAAAUUAAAAAAAUAAUAUAUUCACCAUAAAAGAUUAAAAAAAUUAUGUAUAUUAUAUGUCAUCUAACUGCUAUUAGCAUAUCAACAGCUAAACUAAACGGGCUCUUAAUCUCUCUUUUUUAAGUAAAAUAAUAAUUUCUCUAGUAAAACUUAGAUUCUGAAAACUCUCAUAUCAUACCGCCGCAGUUUUUUCAAGAACAUUCAAUUAGGCUUCAGGCCAAUAACAGAAGUAAUGCUGAAAUCCAACUGAGAAAUAAGCUGGUCAAAAAAUAAUCUACAAAUCAAAGAAAUAACUAUAAUCUUCUGAAGAUACAUAUGAUAAAAUUCAGCUCAUCUAUUUGAGGGGUACAACUCAUAUAUGUGCGAGCAACGCAGGUCAGUUCUCUGGAGACAUGCAUUGCAAUUUGCAAAACAAAAUAAACAGUACAUCCGCCAAUGCCAUUAUAUACACUGUCUAUCUUCAAAUUUUAUAACUGAACAACUGGUAUGUGCUAAAAUUGAAAUUCUUGCCGCUGGAAAUCUCCACAUCCCGACUUUUCUAAAGAUAAAAGAAAAUCCAGAGUUCAUUGCAAAACAAAUAUAUCUGAUGGAUGUCACUGAUGCUAAAGUCCCAAACUAGUUUAUGGCUUCUGCAUUUCCUCUGCGGAUAAAGUGCUGUUCAAGGGAUUUGGAGCAACAUCUGAUUUCAAAGGCUUAGUGUCGCCAGCUUGAUUGUUGACGGGGCUCUGUUCUAUAAGCUCGUUUGACUUUUGAUUUAACUUGAAUGGCCUUUCAAAAUCUUUAGCAUUGCUGGUGUCAAUGACUAAUUUAUUGAGUUUUUGCUCCUGCAAAUGAACAAUUAAAAUUAAUGGACAGAAAAUACAGAAAGCAAUAUAAAGGCACAACUUGUCAUUAGCUAGAGAUGAUAGUCUCCCUUCUAUUUGCACUUUUGUCAAAUUAAACUAAAUGUUCAAAACACCAUCAAUUACAUUUUGCAGUGCUUCUAGCUUUCGCUGUAGUGCCUCAUGCUCAGCUUGGAUACGGAAUGGAACACCACGUUUCAGAUAAACAUUAUUUUGGGCCAGGUCUUCGUCAAUGUCACUGGCAGUAGUUGCAAAAGGAUGAUUUGCAGGAAUCCAUCUGAUUGUAUCAGGGUCAACAUCAGGAGGUACAGAAUCUCCUUCUUUAAGGAAUAUAGUUGGUCUCUUCCACUGGUAUGCCCGCGACCUCCUUUUCUGAUGGAUAGCUUGUUCCUCUUUUGUAAGUGUAACUGGAGCUAAGCGAUAAACUUUCCCACACAUCUCCACAGUGGAAUUGCUCUUACCAACUUUCACCAAUGGAUUAUUGAAUGGAUCCUCAUAUUUGAGAGGCCUUGAGCUGUGAAUAACAGGUUAUAGGAAAAGCAUUUCAUUAUUGUUGAAUUUGAAAAACUUGACAUUACUUGAAAUGUGAUUCUCAAAAUACACAACAUAGUAAAACAGAAUGAAAAGAAGUUAACUUUAUGCUAAAUCCUUCUAGAGUCAAAAAAAAAAAAAAAAAAAAAAAAAAAAGAAGAGAAGAUAGAUUGGAAUCAUACAUACAUGCCUCUUCUAUCAGAUCUUAAUUGCCCACGUCUGACAAGAUCAGCUACAGAGCCAGGACGGUUGUACCUUGACUUCCUCACCGCAUAUACUCUCACAGCAAUGACCAGAAAUGCAGUCACAAGGCAUAACCAGAUUAUAAAAUUACUUCCUCUAGCUUGCGUUCUCGUCUGAGACAAACAAGAAACUUUCUAGAAAUAAAUACACAGGCAAAAUAAUCUCAAAAAUUAUAAACUAGUUGGCACAAACUCCAUACCACAAAAACAAUGGGAGGGAAAGUGGAAAUAGUUCCUUGUAAUUUGGAAAUGUGGUGUUUGAAAUCCAAGGCAAUAUCUUUAGGGCCAGCCUUGAUAACCCCAUCUUGGGGACGUUGCUCGUCUUCAGCGCUUACAGAGUCAUUAAUGGCUCUCAAUUGAAACAAUGGAUUGGUUACUGGUGGAUUCCACCUGAGUUGGCCAUGAGAUAACACAAAUUCUCUCCUAAUUUCCACAAAAUUUGGAGAAAUCUGGUGCUUUGAAACCCAAAUUGACGGCUAUAAUACAAUCAAAUUUUAGAAAACCAAAAGAAGCGAGAGCGAACUUUAAAUGCAAAAUGAAAGCAAAGAAUUGGGAUUACCUGAAUGGAGAAGGAAUGAAAUUGAAGAGUCCGAGGUGAUGAUGCCAUUUUGGGAAUGGGAAACUCACAAUCAGAGAGAAGGAAUAGAAGAAUUUGUGGAACUAGGUCUUUAGAAUUACCGUUCUCCUCUUCUUCUAAACCAGUUUCUGCAAACGAAGCUGCUUCAUGUUUCAGUCGGUCACUACGGAACGCCCUCAGAUCCAUCAUUGGUUUUUAAUAUAUUUAUUUCCUAGACUCUACAACAAUUGGAUCCGUGGCGCAAUGGUAGCGCGUCUGACUCCAGAUCAGAAGGUUGCGUGUUCGAUUCACGUCGGGUUCAAUUCCCAAAUCAACAUAUUUUUUAGGUGUAAAAAAUUUUAAAUUACAAAUAUUUUAUUAUUAUAUUUGAACUUGAAUAUCUAAUUUUUUUUUUUUUUUUCAUGAAACAUAAAUCUCUAAAAGAAAGAUGAAUAUACGAGUAGUAUUUUUGUUUUAAAUAUUUUUAAUGAAGAUGGAAAGAUCAAUCAUUAUUUUUGAAAGUUGAAGAUUAUUACUCUAAUGCUUACUACUCAUUAACAAGAAGUCAACUUAAUGGUAAGGUUAAUCGUUGGCAUAUUUCAAAAGUUAAUUGAAGUUAUUAACUCACAAAUUAGUGAGUUAAGAGCAUUAUUUAUAGUGGCAUAAGUCAAAUAGAAGUAAUUGAGUUCAAAUGGUUCAUGCAUAUACUUCUAUUAUUCAAUGUACCUUAGGAUAUUAGAGUAUAUAUAAUUGACUUCAUAUUUCAUAAAUAAAAAUAGAAAUAUGUUUUUUUUACCAUGUAACUAUGAUUCUAAAUAAAGAGUUCAAAAAUAGGAAAAUUGGAUGGCAUGCUAGUUUUGAAAUUCUUAUUUGAGAAAAAAAAAAAAAAAAAAGAAUUAGAGAGUAUUAUUAUUACACGAGGAAUAGGAUGAGUGGCUUCAAAUCGAUGUCCUCCACCCACCCACAGCCACCCUAGUUAUACCACUCAUAUUUGCCUAAUGGUCCUAAACUUUGAUUAAAUCUCAAUUCAUCAUUUGGUCACUAACCCUAAUUAUUUAUGGGUUUAAUUUCUCCUCUCCCAUCACUUUUUAUUAGGGUUAGAGAAUUAAAAAAGGUAAUGUUACAAUAUCUAUAUAUAAAAAUUAUAAAUUUACUGCCACAAAAGGGCUAUACCAUUAUGGAGUAAUUUUAGUUAUUAUAUUUGGAGUUGAGACCCAAUGUUGUUUUUUUUUUAUUAAGGAUCAUCCAAUGAAAUUGGAUUAUUCACUUAUUCUUCUUCUUCUUCUAAUGCUUUAGUUUGGUCAUGGAAGCAAGAAUUAAUUAAUUGAACGGUUCCGAAGAAAAUGGAAUGGAAUAGAAUAAAGAAAGGCUAUAACCAUGAAAGUGGACUAAUCUUACCUUUUGUUAGGUCAGGGGUCUCAACGCAACAAAGAAGACGGCAGUUGUUUUUUUUUUUUUUUUAGCAGGUGGGGGAUUAGCUUGGAAUUGUGGCCUUCAAAUAUAUUUUAUAAAUUCAAGCAUCUAGCCCAUGUGCUAAUUUUAGCACUACCAACUAUAUGCACUUGCCAUCUCUGGUCUUCCAACAAGAUCAGCUCACUACUUUUUUCUUUCGGAGAUAAAUUUUUCCUUUUGGAGAAUCAAGACCUUCCAUACCUCUCAAUUAAGUCUUUUUUUUGUUUUUUUACACUAUUUACUACUAGUAUUUGUUGUUUUCGGUGUUUGGUUCAGAUAAUAUUUUGCUAUUGCUCAAUAAUUGAUCUAAUCCUUUCAGUUAAAGUAAAAUGAAAACGUCCGGUCAAGUCAUUUCCACUGGAGCACUACAGAAAGACAGCUUAAAUACGAAAUCAUUUGUCAACGCAAAAAUCAACUGGUGGCUGCUCAACCCAGUGACAACUGACCCACCUCUGCUGGAUACAUCUCCUGCCGUUGGUUGGCUAGUUCAGCUGCCUGCCUUCGGUGGUCCAUUCCUAUCUAAAUCUAAUUAUCUGUCACUCUUAAUUAAAAAUUACCAUCUAAAAUACAACAAUUAAGGGAUAUGGACAUCAAUCCAAAAGCUGAGAAGGAUGGGUCAGCCAUGGAGACAAAAAGUAUCUCCAUCGCUACCAGUAAUUAUCAAUCCAAGAGAAAUUGCCCAUCUCUCCAUUCAUCGUACUUCUUCGCAGUUAAAUUACCUCAACUUCGGCACCUAGCCACACCACAAAACUUGGGUGAGAUGAUUGAAAUGUUUGUUACCUAAUCACUAUCAGAACACCAUUAAUCACUGUAAUUAAUUUUAAUUAUGUGUUUUACUUGCUAGAUUACCGACUUUUAUACAACAUUACUACAUACAUAAACAGAAAUUGUGCUCAUCUUCCUUUGUAUGUAACUCUAAUUCCUGCUGUUAAUUAAAGAAGUAGGUGAGAAAAGCUAGGGCAAGAACCUAUUGGCAUCAUCUUCUCUUUCUUUCAAUCUUGCCUCGCUUUCAGCUCCGCUGCUGGAACUUGCCGGCAAACCGCCGCACUUUUGACACCUAGCCACCACCAAAAUCUGACGGCAUGAUGGACAGGACGAGUGAGACCCCAGCCACGUGUCGAUACAGUUCACGUGGAAUCCGUGACCGCACUGAGGCAACACUCGGAUUUCAUCUCCGGCUGUAAAUUCCGCCAGACAAAUGGCGCAAUCGGAGAAUUUGGCGGUGAAAUCAGCAGAGAAAGUCUCUUUAGGAAGUGACCGGAGUACCUUCUUCUUCAGACCUUUGUUUGCAGAUGAAGGAAGAGAAGGCGGAGGCGGAGUUUGCGAAUUAGCCGUAGAGGAAAGCCGACGAAGCCAGCCGCAGCGGGCCACGGCUAUGAGUCCGAGAACACAAAUCAAAGCGCAGAGAAGUGCAGCUAGUAUGACCACGAAGUCUGAGUCCAAAGCUGCUGGUGGCUCCGACGAGUCCGUGUUGGCCGUUGUGGUGGUCGCCGACGGAUUUCCGGCGCCAAGGAACCUGAAGGAACGAGUCAUGUGAGGAAAGAGAGAGAGGAUGAGAAGUUUUGCGCAGUGUGUGGGGCGGUUGGUGUUGUGUGUUGAACGUUAUUUUGAUCUCGGAAUCAUAAUGAUUUGGGUGGUUUUAUAAUAAAGGAAUCUAUUGGCCUCCAAUUUUAAUUAUAAAAAUUAUUUAUUUCUCUAAUUACCAUAUUUGACCUUAUUCUUUUUCCUAAAUUAAUAAAGAUAAUUACUAAUUAAUAUCGUAUUUAUAUUUGCUAUGGAAAAGAGAAGCGUGUUGACUACCCUACUGUAAUUAAAUUAAUUGCUUUUUAAAUUAAUCAAAAGUUAAUUAUCUGUCAAUUACCAGAUGACAUGGCGCCAAAAAAAAAAAAAAAAAAAAAAAAGUUAAUCCUCUAACCUUGGAUUUCCUAAUCCUGCCAGAAAAAGCGAAAACAUAACAAAAUCCUCAUGCAUCCUUUACUUAGUCAUGAAUCAAGACUCCCUUUCCUUUUCCUUUCUUUUUGUUCUUUAGAUGAUGUAGAUAACUAUUCCAUCUUUUUCCUCUUAAAAUUACUUAACUCUUCAAUAAUAACGAUUCAAAAUUUUAAAUUCUUGGUGACUUAUCGAGUGGACGGGCCUCUUCAUGGAUCAAACUAUAAAAAAUAAAUUUUUAUUGAAACAAAGAUAUUUCUAUUUAUACACUCGAAAAACUCAUAGGUAUGUAGAUCCGGUCCAAGCAAGUCUAAUCCGACUUUAAAUGUAAAACUAGUAUAAGAAUGUAAUCCACUUGUGCUUAUCCAAUUAGGUAAUUAUACGAGUAUCUAUCCUUAUUAAUAACAACAAGAAAGCAAUGGAUACAAAUUUAUUGGAAUGUUUAUAUCUUUUAAAGAGUUGGUGGAGACAAUAAAAAACAAAAAUCUUGAGUCUUGAUUGAAAUUCCCUUGAAUGAAUAUGCUAGAGGCAAUAUUGAUGAAGUACAAUUUAGUAGCAAAUAAAGCCAUAAUGAUUCGCUUGACCUCUUCCUUUGUUUUUCAAUGACCACCAUGGCAAGAUGCUUAUAGUUAAAGGGCAUUUUACAUUUUUUUAUGAUGUAACAGAGAUUCUGAAAACAAUAACUGGAAAGGUUAAUUCUACAAACUAAAACCUAAAAUCUAAUGGAAGAUAGAACUAAAGAUUUCUCAGCAGCCAAUGAAAGUGAAAAGUCGAUCAAAAGAAUUUUUUGAAAAGAGAAGUUCCAACAGGAGCAAACAUUCUAAGAUUCUGAAACAGAGCUUUCAAGCUUGAAUUCAUGGCCACCGACUUUUCCAAAUCGACCCGUAACUUUAGUAGGAGUAGCUAGACUCGCGACACGUGUCAACCAUGGCAUGAAAAUCGUGAGCCUCAAGGAGCUAGAACAAAUAUUAGUAAUCUCUCUGUAAGGACAUACUUGUUGUGCUUGUAACUUUUAUGGUAGACACAGGCCAACUACCAUGUGGCGUGGCCCAUGUGAAGUGCUACCAAGUCAGGUUUGUCCUUUCAAACCACUAAACUAAACUUAUUAUUAUUAUUCUAAUCUGAAAGUUGUUCAUUUGAUUCUAUUGCUAAUAUUUCCUAAUUUGGUUAUUAGAUUAAAUAAGUAGAUAGCACUAUCCUAGUAAUUGUUUAUUUAGUUUGGGUAAUGGUUUAAUUUUUGUCAAGGGUGUAUAUAUGCACAUAUAUUGAUUUAUCUAUUUAUAUUGGUAGGUGAAGAAGAUAAUGAUAAUCACACUUACUUUAUAUUAUGGUUUGUUUUAGUUACAAUUGGAACCUUCACUUGUUUUUCCAAUAAUAGUACAAUCACAAACAGAUUGAUGAAGGGCCUAAAUGCAUUGGAACCUCCAGCUUCAAUGGUCUUGUCUGGUUUACUUGACCAUUGCCCAUAUUUCCAAGUGGGUGGACAAUAUCAAGUUUCGUCAUGGCCCUAUUCGCUACUAUACUUGAUGCAACUCCAAUUUAAUCGACAGGUAUGGUUUGAGUUAGGUGCUGAGCAGUGCAUAUAAAAAUGUUGAAUAUGAAAAGUAAAUGACGUUCAUUAUUUGAAUAUUUGAAGCAAUAACCUGAGGUUUAACAUUAACAAGGGGUGCAAAAAGCAUUGUUCAUAGGUAAUUCAAAAAUUAAUCAUUGUUCUGUCAAAAUCACUCAGCAGCAACAGCAACAUUUUCCUCGGAAAACUUCGGUGAAUUGACAUAAACUAACUCAUUUUGUACCUGACAUUUCAUGCCUGCAACCAGCAAUGUGGAAUCUUGGUCAACAAAAAUAAUAGACGUCAGUAUAUUAUUUCAAGUAGGCAGCAGUAGCAUCUAGUAAAAAGUGAUUGAAACUAAAAGAAUAUAUUUACAGGAAAAAUCUGUGCUGAGAAACAAAUAAAAUCAAGGAAUUUGAUUUCAUAUCCACCAAGUGAUGGUAACCAAAAUUUGUCAAGCACAAAGUUGUUUCUUCUUGGGCCGUUACAGUAAUCGGGGUGACCACCUUUGUAUUUCAAAACAUUCAAAAACUCUAGCAGUUAGGGUAAUAGGAUCAUAUAUUGAUAGCUUUAAUUAUAAAUGUAAUGCUGAGUGGUCAAUAGAUGCUGAUGGGUCAUUCAUGAUGUCAACAGGUGUUGAGGUGUCAUUCAUGCAAAUGAGAUAUAAGGAGUGUCAUGUGCUCAGAUGUAAAGUGUGAAUUUUACAAUCAAUAAUAUCUCUUACUCUUUUCUCUCUCCUCAUUUCUUCUGCUCUCUCUUUUCUAAAUCUUUUCUCCUUGUUUCUUCCUCUUUCUCUCUCUUUCCCUUGCUUUUGUUCUAUUUUCUCACCUUCCACACUCAGUUAGGCUCUAGAUGACCACUGAGCCUAACAGUUUCAUAUUUUGCAAUAAGGCUGUCACAACACUACUUACUAUUCAUUUUCACAUUCCAUGUAUAUGCUGUACUAGUGUUUGCAUAUCCAUGCCGGUCCAGCUAGUUUGGGCAGCUCCCAUAAUCAUCAGAAUUUAAGGGAAUUCUGUAUUUAGCUAAACAUAACAUCAGAGGGGCAACUAUACAUGAAUAAGCAUUACUGCAUUCCUAAAUGGUCCAGUUAAAAUAUGAGCUGACAGUUAGGACAUGAUAAGUUGGGAAUUAGGGGCCCUCGAUACAGUGGCUUAUGUUUAUUCUGUAAUUUCCCAGCAUCUACCAGAAUUGAAUAAUAAACGAAAUCAGCAUUAUGCAAUAGCAUGUCUCACCUCCGAAGGAGUAUGCGAAAUCCACUCACAAAUCAAAUCUCACAUUCCAUCUACCAUUCAUGUCAGCAUUGACAGUCCAAUUGUUUUCCCUAAUCUGCAGAUAAGGCACCUGAAAGGCGGAAAAAGAAUUAACAAAGAGCAGCAGAAGAAAGUUAACAUUAAAUUCAGUAUAGAAUGACAAGGUUGAAAAUGGGUUUGGCUAUGCCACAAUGUCCAAGGUACUAACUACUAACUACCGAGGAUAGUUUGCACCAUCUUGAAUUGUCACCAUAAAAAAAAUAUGACAAUAAUUCAUCACAAUAGAUUGUCAUAAUUCAUAAUAAACAGAACGCCAGAUGUACAACCAGAAGAUGAAUUCCACCUUCCACAUAAAAAUUUCUAAAAUGGAAGACUGCAAUAUAAUUCUGUAGUUUUGUUGUCAUUUUCAUCUUAUUUUUAUAGAGUGAGAGAUCAAAAUUCAUAGUGAACACCUGCAAUGACAUAUGCCAAGCAAGGUGUGCAAAGAGAAUCAUGAAAUAAACAACAUAGUGGAAAAUAAAACAUGAUAUCUACACAUCAUCCAUAAAGGUAUUUAUACCUUUUCAGUCACUUCAUAUCCAACUUUCAAUCUAACAUCUUGGUCUUUCUGAAAAUUAAAAAUACUCCAAGAAAAUUCUGCAGCUCCUUUUGACUUCCUCUGUCAACAUAUCAGAAGAUAUUAGUUGCAAUAGUGAACCUAGAAAUACAGAUUCGAUAACUUUUAGUUAUCAUUUCACCUAGCAAUUUUAUUUUUUAAAGAAGUAAUUUUAAUUCCAUUAAGCUUACAAAAGAUUGAAAUUAAAAACAAUUAAGUCACAGACACAGGUCAGGCAAAAAUUUUGGAGCAUUGCACCAAACCUCAUAUACCAACUACAGUUCCAAGAAGGGCCCAAAGAAAAGACUAACCUCUUUAAAUUCUUUGUCAAUAUUGCACCACCCCUUUAUAUUGAAGGUUAAAAAACCAUCACUCGUUACAUUAAAGGCUUUUUUUCCACGUAUUCUGUAUGUGAGCUUCUCAUAUUUAUCAUAGUGCAAUCCCAUGCCAAGGCUGGCUGAUGACUAUCAUCCAUUAACAAAAUAUAUUAGUAUAUACUUUACAAGAAGAUUUACAGUUGCCUAAUGAGAAUGCACAUGAUAGUGGUAAUAGUAAAAAUGAAGGGAAAGAGAAGAACAUACCUCUGGAUAGAAGCGUCUUAUCAUUGCACUAACAUAAGUUGGCGCUCCAAUUCUCGUAUCUAGCUCUCCAUGAACCUAAAGCCAAUUGAAGUUAAAACAUUCCACGCUUGAUGCUAUAAUCAAUGGAAAAUUUCCAAACAAACAGGCUAACCACUUCAAAAAUUAAAAGACGGUUAUAAAUCUACCUUUCACAACACAGAAUUUCAAGGCUUUGCACAGAUUCAAGCAAUUUUAACAUGCAACUAAACUCAUAAUCAAGCAUUAAAAUUUCAAUCAAUAAUCUGCAGGUCAAUCAGCAGGUAAAAAACAGAGUUGAAGCAUGCACAUACAAGAAGAAGCAGAAGUGUUGGAGAAAUGAAAUCACCUGCAGAUGAGUUUUAGAAUCGAGAGGUAACUUCUCCUUGGCAUGGAUUCUGAGAGCUUUGUAGUCUCCUCCGUAUCUUAGAGACGUCUCCAUUGUUUCGUAUAUGCCUAAUUACAAUCCCAAAGACGGCGACACCAAAAACCCUAUAUCAAUCGGUGUGGUUGCUCUUCGCAGCAGAAAUUUCCGGUCGUUGUGUAGCUGUGUACCUGCUUCGCUCUGUUAUCUUCGAGCUGCGGCUAAUAGUAAAACCGAGCUUUGUUGUAUUGGGCCAGAUUUAUAGCGGUUGGACCAAGCCCAACCUAGCCCAACUUCUUCUUUUGGAAGCCCAUUUCCCACUGACAGAGGCAGACUAACAAAAUAGGUAACUGGUAAAUCCGUCUCCAUUCUCCUUCAGUUAACGAAGCCAAGCUAGUGAGAGAGACGAUCGUCUGAUGGGAGAUAACAACGGAAUGAUGGGGCUUUGGUUCAGGUUUAAUGCACUUGUAUUAGCGAUUGCCAUACUCUCAACUCCUGUAUUCUCCGAUCUAAUAAUAUCCAAGGUCGAUCGACGUGUAAGUUCCUUUCUUUCAUUUUCGUCUCUCUCUAAUUGCUAUGCAAAUCUUGUCUUCGUCUCUCUGCGGUAAAUUGUUUGCACUUUAUUUUCUGCCAAAAUUGAGUUCUUUUUCUCCAUUUUGAGCUAAAAUGCUUCGAGCAAGUAGAGAUCUUGUUCAUUUUCUUUUGAUUUUCAUAAUUUAAUUGUGAGUAUAUUUGUUGUGGAGGAAAUGAGAUAAUGAAAUUUGAGCCAUAAGAGUUGUAUUAGGAUAGGGAGAGCUGGGUAGUGAACAAAUAUCCAUAUAUUUUUUUCAGCUUCUCGUGAGUUUUUAUUUUUUUUAUUUUUUUAUUUUUUUUUGCUGAGAUUCACUUAAAAACUUUUAACUUUCAUCAGAAACAUGCAUUUCUAUCACCUAUCUAAUUCUUGAUUGAAAUUUAUUGUUCAUUGCUGUAUUUUCUUAUUGCUGUCUCUCAUUCUUGUUUCUAACCCUAAUCUUGAUACUGUGUUGCAGAUUGAUUUGACUUCACAAAUUGUACGAGUUGCUUCAACCCUAAAGGUGCUUGAAUGAUGUCCUGUAUGUGUUUGUUUGAUUUUUUACUAAUAACUCUUAAGAGGACUAUGUUUUGACUUUGAAGGCAGAAAUUGAUACUUUUUCUUUUAAUUAUUUUAUUUAUUCAUGUUAGUUUGCUUUCUGCAAGUGAGAAUUCUUUCUCAUGAAUGUGAAUUUUUUUUACUAAAAAAAUAUUCUAGCACAUUUAAUUUUAUGACCAUAUUUGAUUCUUCAGGUAGAGAAUGCUGGUCCUGGUUUGGUUUCAGAGUUUUUGCUGGCCUUUCCUGAGGUUCAGGCAAAAAAUUUGGCAUAUUUGAUGGCAUCAACUACUGAAGGAAAAGGGAAAAUGAAAAACUCUGGUAUUCCUCUUUCUGUUGAAGUUGCCAAUCCGAAAGCAAUGCCUCCUGGAUUGAAUUUUUAUUCUGUAUUACUGCCUAAGGCACUAGGCGAGGGGGAUACAUUGACUUUGGAUGUCUUGGCAGUAUUUACCCAUGCAUUGAAGCCCUUUCCUGAGAAAAUUACCCAGGCUGAUAUUCAGUUGGUAUUGUUCCAAGAUAGUGCAUACUAUCUUUCUCCUUAUGCAGUAAAGUUUCAGUCACUCAGUGUUAAACUACCUGGGGCUAGAAUAGAGUCUUAUUCAAAAAUUGAGAAUACAAAGUUGCAUGGCUCAGAGAUCAAAUAUGGUCCAUAUGAAAAUCUCCCGCCUUUCUCAUACUCACCUGUAGUUGUGCAUUUUGAAGCCAAUCAACCAUUCACUGUUGCUCAGGAGUUGGUACGAGAAAUAGAAGUUUCUCACUGGGGCAAUGUACAGGUCACAGAACAUUACAAUAUUGUCCAUGAAGGGGCUAAAAGCAAGGGUGAAUUUUCCAGGUCAGUAUUUGUUCUUUAUGGUUGUGUGUUGUGUAGGUAAUUCCUAUUGAGUUUGAUCCUGAUCUGUUUCCUUAAUUUUUGUAGGCUUGACUACCAGGCCAGAGCAACUAUGGGAGGUGCAUCAGCCAUAAAACAUCUAGUUGCAAAAUUGCCUCCGAGAGCUCAUUCCAUUUAUUAUAGGGAUGAAAUUGGGAAUAUAUCAACAUCUCAUUUGUUUUCUGAUUCCAAAAAGGUACAUCUUUUUAAUUUAAUUAGAUUUCGUUAGUUGUUGAUUCUGAUUGAGGUACCCUUUUGAUUGCAGAUAGAGCUAUUGAUUGAACCUAGAUAUCCUAUGUUUGGUGGUUGGAGAACAACUUUUACUAUUGGAUACAGUUUGCCACUUCAGGACUUUUUGUUUGAGGCAGAGGGAAAACGUUUCCUGAACAUCUCUUUUGCUUCCCCCAUUAAUGAGCUGGUCAUUGAUAAUCUCAUUGUGAAGGUUUAUUAUGCAGUGAUCAUCUUGUUUUUAGUUUAUAUAUAUAAACAUAUGCUUAUUAGUUGCAAUUCUGUGAUUUACAAGAGUGCUGUUUCCUGGCAUUCCUGACCCAGUAUUUGGUUGCAGGUUGUUUUACCUGAGGGGUCUACAGAUUUAUCUGUUUCUACCCCAUUUCCCGUAAAGCAACAGCAAGAGGUAUCACAGGGCUGUGAAGCCUUGUUUCUCCCUUUGUAUUCUUAAAAUCAUUUUGUGUUUAAUCAAUUGUUACCUUUUCUUCUAUAAAAAUUGCUAUUUAACUGUGAGUGUGGUUUAUUGCAGACCAAAAUUUCCCACUUGGACAUUGUUGGUAGGCCAGUAGUAGUGCUUGAAAAGGUCAAUGUUGUUCCAGAGCAUAAUCAAUACUUUCAGGUAUUAGUUCUUUUGCCUCUUUAAAUUUAAUGAACAGCAUUUACGUAAUAGUUAAUUGAAUAAAUAUCUUAACAAUUGUCCCAAAAACUUUAGAAAGUAAACAAGUUGCUCCAUACCAUCUUUCAUGAGUUUCAUGCAAUUUGCAUGGUAACUUCCAUUCGUAUGAAUAUUGAGAAUUUCCUGCUCUGAUAUUUGCAGGUCUAUUACAGGUUCAACAAACUCUUGAUGCUUCAAGAGCCAUUUAUGUUGAUUUCUGGAUUUUUCCUCUUUUUUGUUGCUUGCAUUGUAUAUGUUCAUGUUGACUUGUCAAUCUCCAAGUCUUCUGCUUCUUAUUUGGCAAAACUGCAGUGGGAUGAGGUAAGUAGGAUAGUUUCAUAUCAGAGUCAUAGUCUGUAUCAUUUCUUUAUUUAUGGAUAAGAAAGCCUAAACAUAUGUAACUUCAUUUCUUUUUUUCCAGGUGCGAGCAACAGUUCAGCAGGUUGAGAGUAUCAUUAACCAAUGUCUAGCAACACAUGAGAAGCUAGAAGCAUCAUUACGUGAUCUUUCUAGGAUAGGUGAUGUCCAAGCUUGUAAAACUGCUCGUAAGACAGCUGAUGUUUCGUUGAAAGAGCAUUCGAAAGAGCUCAAGCCAUUAUUAGCAUUCUUGCAAUCUUCUCCUACAGCUGCUCAUAUAUUGCCCAAGGUUCAUUUGCUGUUUACUCAUUAUAGAUUGUUGCAGACGAUACAUCUUUGAUGCUUGGAAUUUAUCUCAAUAACAUAUUCUAUCUGAAUUAGCAUAGCUAAAAAACAGAUUAAACCAUCAACUGACAUGAGUUGUUACUUGAAAGAAUGAUGUUUGCUGUAGCGUGCUCAGUGCACACCAAAGCUAAUUUUAUACUACCAUCCUAUACUCUUUCUACAAUCAUUUCCUGAUAACUGAUCCGUAAUGUCUGUUAUACAGGUAGAGGAGCUGGUGGCUAAGGAGAGAGAAUUACAAGAGAGGUUGAUGGCAAAACAUUCAACAGUAGUGGACUGCUAUGAGAAGAAACUGGGGGGGCGGGACAUUGAGAAUAGGGUUGCCCCACUCCAGCAGAAAGUUGUAGCCUUGAGGCAGGAGGUUGAAGAUCUUCUAGACUACAUCAAUGAGAUAUAAAUUAAAAUGAGUGAAGUGGCUGAGUUUCAAGAUAAGAAUUUUGGUUUUUAUGUUGAGUUAAUAUUUGACUUGCUAACUGCAAUUUCCUGUGGUUAUUGCAUGAUAGAUUGGCAUUUUGUAGUUCAGUUGAGGAGAAUAGAGCUUAAUUAGGGCCAAAAACAAACUGUGAUACGGUGAAAAAAUGGCUUGUGAACGAGCUCCUUAAUGCCUAUUUGUGAAAUGAGAAGAAAGGAUUUUGUUUUAUAACGGUUAUGAUAUUUGUUUCGAAUAAAGCCGCUUGGUUUGAAACUUGAUAUAACAAUAUGGGAAUGAUUCUACGACAUGUCAUUUCCACACACUCGGCAAGUCGCUUCAAUUAAUGAAGUACUUGUUCUACGUAUUUCCCUAUUGUUUUCUGCAGUAGGAGGCUCGGCAGGAAACAAGGAAACGAAGAAAAGGCCCUGGAUGUGGGUCGAAAGCCCAGAUAUAACUCAUUUUGUCAAAUUUUUCCUUUUAAUAGAAAAAUCAUCUGGAAAAUUAAAUAUCUAGUAGAAUAUGUAUAUUUGUUUUGAAACAAUAGGUGAAGACUGAACACAUCCCCCAGAAGUAAACAAAUAAAUUUGUAAAAAUUCAUCAUGUAAUAGCAGAAGUAACAAACAACAAUGUGCUUCUCCAAAUCAAAUUGGAAGUAAUAUGGACUUGGCUAGUGGACAGGUUAGGCCUAUGGGGAAAGAAGAAAUGCUCUUCCAAAUGAAUCGUUAAGCUAGAUGCACUUUUCCACAGCAGAAGCAAAAAUUCAUUUUACCAUGAUGAGAUGUUCUUCUUGCAACCAUACCAAAUAUGAGCUCUCACUUCUCUUCAGGUGGCAGUACUUGCAAAAGCUCAAGAUUCAGCUCGAAUGUAGCUCCUGGCUGCAUUACAGAUGAAAUAAUUUGACCAUUUUGUCCCAAAUAUUAUCUAUGAUUAACAAAAUAUUAGGAAUUUGACCAACUAUAUCUGUAGGAGUAGGACUUUACUGGGAUUUCAUUCAUUCCCUUUUGGCCAUACCCAGCCUCAGGAGGAACAAUAACAGUCCUCUGCAAAGAGGAGAAAAUUUUUCAAUGUAAGAAAAGAUAAGAGAAAUUAAUAACAUAAAACAAAAAAAUCUCCUGCUGUUUGGGCAUAUAAUUACAAAGAAAGAAGAGCAUGCUACCACCUUUCCUCCAACUUUCAUUCCUUCUGUUACUGAGUACAGAGCAGCUGGUGGUUUUGGUGCAGCCUGUGCAGAAAACAGACCAUUUGGGUUGUCUACAAAUUCUCGCUUCCUUUCUUUGCCUGGAGGUGCUCCAACUUUAAACUCGUAUGGCUAAGUAAUAAAGCACGACAAGAUGAGCAUCGGUUAAGUACUCAUACUAUCAUAUGACUGAACAAAAUUUUUCAUCAAAGAAGCAUUUGGAUGAUUGACAGUAGAAUAUAGCCUGAGAUUAGGAGAUGCAAGUAGGCAGUUCUUGUCUGGAUGUGUAAGAUCAUACAUCGCAAAAGUAAAGAUUUCAUAUGUGAAAAGGAUAUAAUAACCUGUGCAAUUAUACGGUUACCAGCCAAAAGUUUAGAUUCUCUACUCGACACAGCAGUUAUACCCUUAUAUAAGCAAUCAAAGUGCACCUGCAGGCAGUUAAAACUGAAAUUUAAAGGAGAGAACAAAAGAAAAAGCAAGUUAAUUUCAGUUUCGACAGUAAUUAACCUCAACUGUUGAUCCUUUUUCAGCCACUGGACCCUUCCCCUCAACAACAUCAUAAUAUUUUAACCCAUUAGCUGUAAAUUCAAUAUAAACAAAGCAAAAGGAAAUGUUAGUUUUAAACAGACUGCAUCAGUGCCACCAAAACUUCAUCACUCGUUGAUUGUCUAGUGGAAAAUUUAAAUGAGCUGCAGUUUGUAUGCAGCUGAGCUUCUGUUUGAAUUCUCUCUUCCUAAUAAUGUACCCUCUUCUCUUUAGUCUUGUAUAUUUAUAAUUGUCUUGUUCAACUGAAUCUAGUCUGUGCCACUUGCAUUCAAUUUGAAAUACUACAGAACCAUCAAGCAGGUACAUUGAGAAAAAACUUGAUAAAUAGAUGAUAUUAUUCUACCUAUUAGAGAAAUUGUAUUAUCACUACUCUUGAGUUCCAAAAAUUACAAUCCUUUCAGCGACCAAAAAAUUAAAUUAAAUUAAAAGCAAAACGUCAAGCAACCACAGAAAUCCAAAAAUCUUCUAAUGUCAAUAUGAAUUGUGCCAACAUUUUAAACCAAAGCAAACAAAUUUCCAAAUUUGCCUGCCAUGAUUUUGAACCAAGCCAACCAUAACAUCACUCAGACGGAGGUGAUCCAAAUAAAUGAAAGAUUAAAGAAUAAGAGAGAACUGAAUAACUAACGAGCAGUGAGAUAGUCUUCAAGGGGGAUGACCUUCCUGUUGCGUCUUUCUCUGGCCUCUGAUAACUGAGGUAGGGAAAUGAGGCUAAAGGGCAACGAAGAUAUCAAAAUUGCACAUCUUCUCGAAGUGGGUAUUGAAAGAAGAAUGUGAUUUGAAGGUUCAAAGCUUUGUUUUUUUGUGGAUUUUGAAAUAAUUUGGAGAUGAUUAACGGUCCAUCUGUCUAAGCUCCUCAUAGUCAUACAAGCCAUGGCCUCCGGCAUCCAAAUGCCUAUACAACAGAAGUUAUUACAAUCCACCCACGUUAUCUCUAUCCAUUCUUAUCAAUGUAAUUACAAUUAUACCCCCAUUUAUAGGUUCUUCAGUAUACUCUCUAUCCAAGAAUUGAAAAGAAAUAAAACUAGUAAAUUGAUGUGCAGAGUGUUUGGUUUAAAUGAAUUCUGAUUUGAAUUCUCUAAGAAUUGCAAUUCCUGUGUUCAGAAAUGAAACAAUUUAAAAUGCAGAGUUUAAUUGAGAAUACUUAACAACUAUAUGAAUUAAUUGUAUGUUUUAUGAGUAAUUUUACAAAAUGUACCUAACAAGGAUUAAUAAUCAGAGUACAUACAUUUUUUUGGUUUUUUUUGCCUUUUUCUCAGGUAGUGUAAGUCAGUUUGUGACUGUCAAAUAAUGUUACAGUCAAUAACCACUCUUGACUAUGAAACAAAAACUACAUUGGAACCAGCUAAAGAUGUCUUUCUUAAAAGUAACCUAAAACAUUAGCAUUUUCAAUCACAUAUUUUGGCAAUGAAAAUGAUGAAGUUAUAGUAGAUUAGGUUGACUACUAGGUUGUUGUUGAUCUCCAUUGAGAUCCACAGUUGCCGUGAUAUUUGCCGUCUGAGGGCCACUUUGGUGUAUUUGAACAUCAGUCAAUUCACGAUCUACAGGGUGAGCUCCUUCAUGAGCAGGGGAAUGCACCGGAGAAUCGCCGGGGCUUCCACCUAGAGUCCUAGUACGGCGAUGGUGAUCAUGCUUAUCCCCUGUCUUUUUCUUGACAGCACUUUUGUGCCACUGCUUUAAGGCCUUUGAAGUUUGUUGAUCAAAGAUUGAUCGCUUCAUUGUUGAUCCCAUCUAAAAUUUUUCAAAAAAGAAACUAAAAACUCAAUCUUUGAAAAAAAUUACAUAAAUUCUGCACAAGGUUAUAUCCAUACCUGAGUAACAAGAGCAUAGAGUGGAAGUGUGCUGUAGCUGCAGAGAAAUUGGGCUCCAAAACUGUUACAUUAUAACAUUCAAUUUAAGUAUAAAUUCUAAGUGUCCAUUGGCAAAUUAUCAGGAAUAUGAAUUACCCGAGAGCGACUCUUGAGUAUAUAAGAGUUAAAUCCUCAUGAAAACAUGAGUUCAGUCCGAACUCGUACUGCAACAUGAGAAAGAAUAAUAAGACUCCACUAAGAAUGUUGAGGGAACAAAAAAAAACAAUAUGGGAAGAGAGUACUAGCUAAUUACCCAUAUCCAGAAGAAAUAUGUUAGUUCAAAUGCAUUCUGCAGAAAAAUUUGUGCAAACAGUUUGUCAGAAGGGCAAAGCCUCAAAUGUUAGUUCUGCUUAAUUAUAUAUUCGUAAAUACCUGAAACAGGACAAAAUGGAUGAGGUAAAGGACUAGUUGAGGCCAACUAAACCAAAAAUGCCUAUCGGUGACCUUCACAAGUGGUAUUCCUUGGACUACAGCAUGUCUUUCUGUAAUUUCAAGUGCCAUUUCAUUUAUAAUUGCUUGAAGCUUUGUUCCAACUGAUAAGAUUACCUUUCAACCAAAAUUAAGCACAAUUAAUCUUUCAUCUUAUAAAAUAUUAAGCAACAUCACCAAUGAAUCUUUUGUGGCAAAUUUCUUACAAAUAUAGGCAUCAAAGAAACCCAGUACAUGACCCACCAUCCUGAGGAAAAAAUCAAUUAACAUCAUCACACCCUGCUCAAAUCCAAAUGCAGAACAUGGAAACUAACUGAAAUGGUAAAAGGAACUGAAAAGGACUAACCAUGAACAUUGAAAAGCAGAAAGAACACCACAGAGGCCCAGAGUAGCGGACUGCCAGAAGCACACAAAAGUAACAAUAAUAAUUGAGACAUAGUUUAAAUGGAAUGAAGGAUUACAUGCUAACUACAGUUACAUAUUUAAAAAAUGAACAAAGAAAAUGUUUCAUUUCUUUUACCUGAUUCCGACAACGACCUUGAAGUCAUCUUCUAAUGACCUUUUGAUGUACUUUUGGAAGUCAAACUUAGUUCCAGGCGCUAAAUGAACCUUUUGAGUAUAAUUCAGUUAAUUGAUGAAUGAUAAAAAGUUGAAAACACAAUACUGAAAUCUUUACAAUCGUUGAAACUCACGGAAAUGAACCCAUGUCGCAUGGUCAAGUAGUCAGCUCUCUUAACAGAUCUACGGAAUUGUUGAAAGAAGCAUACCUGGAACAGAUCAAAAUGAAAAUACUAGAGCUAUGUCUUGACUAAUACAAUGGUUUUCCACCAAUAUUUGUAUGUGAAUGAAAAUGAAAAAGGAAAGGUCAGUGACAACUUCCUUACAAUGUAAAAGAGGGCUGGCGUUUUCGUCCAGAAAUUUGUGUGGUCUUUCACAAAAGAUGUCUCGUGUGUGAGCCUGAAUCUUGUUGGAUCUGCAGCACAAUUACCAAAUUCCCAAUUCAUCACUAGAAAAAUUAGAACCACUCUUGAUGACUUGAACAGCAUUAAACUAUGGAUAAGCAGUGCAAGCUUCAAGCAGGAGUGAAAAGAACUACAUUAACAUCCAAUAAAAGUACCAUUCAUAGCUUCGUGUUCCUUGAUACACUGACGUUCCCACUCCUUCCAUCCACGAAUCUGCACAAAAGGAACUCGUAAUUCUUGCAUUCUGCUACUCCAUUUAUAAUAGGUCAAAUAAAAGAAAAGAUUAAAAGAAAGGAAACAAAAAAAUUAUUCGAGAAAAUCCAAAGCGUUAUGCUACCUUUAAUCUUCCAAGCGUCAUAGUUGCGCAACUGUAGAACACAUGGAAACAUGCUAAGAAGAAUAUGAAGAUGUGCAACUGGUGCAGUCCGUUCAAAGAUAUAAGUGGUACAUAUCCCUGAAAAUAACACAUUCAACAAUCAUCAGAAAUUACUUAACAAGUCAUCUAAAAGAAUUAUAACUGCUCUUUAUAUAAAAUUCUGCGGAACUUUCAUAUGAUCUAAAGGUAAAACAAUGGAAAAAAAAACCUUCAAGAAUUUUUGUUAAUGUUUUAUUUGGAUAAACAUUAAUUUCAGUUUUCAUUAGCAAUUUGGUAACCUUUGGGUUGCCACUCAACUUCCAUCGUGCUACUGGUUCAAUUUAUUUAUUAUCACAUCCUAGCAAGAUAAACUUAAUUACCGGUCCGCAGCCUACAGAAUUGCCGCCGCCACCUAAAAAUCUGCGUUCAUGCCAUAGAAGCCUGCGGUGAUGAUGUGCUUCCUCCGUAGUGAGAAGAUCAUGGUGAUCAUGACCAUGAUCAUGAUCAUCGUGAACAUGAUCAUCGUGAACUUUUUUGGGGCAAGGCAACAUAGUAUUCGCAUAUCUUUCCUUGAUGCACAUUCCGGCAAUGUAGCUCUGACUGAAUGUCAGGAGCAAAGAUAUAAAUCCUAAAACCAUAAGCUCUGCACAAAUAACCAGAAAAUGGGUAUUGAUCAGUUGGAACUCACAUAUAGUCUGAAUCAAAUACUAACUAGAACGGAGAAAAAUGAGAAGUUUACCGGCUUUAACUUUCUCAAGUGCUUCAUACAGAGCUUUCUUGUGUCUUUCUUGAAAGAACUGACAUAAAAAGCAGCAUUAUUAAUCAGUAAACAUAUACAGGAUAAAAAGAAAAAGCUGAACAUGCAAACUUGUUAAUAAAAAUUUAACCAAAAUAUUUGCUUUCCCUCAAUUGUUGCAUAAAUUCUUAACUAAAAUAUAACAUAUGAAACUGGAAGGUAUUAUUCAUUAAAAAAGAAAAGGAAAAAAAGAGAGAGAGAGAGAGAGAGAGAGAGAGAAUUUACCUCUCCAACAUGAUGAAGAACUUUUUCCAAUAGGAUAGAGAUGAGAACAAUAGCAGCACAAACUGCAGCGACAGCCCAUGUGGGUGUCUGGUCAAGCUCCCUCGCACCUGGGGUUUCUGCACUUCCCAUGUCUCUCUAACCUUGACCUUUACACAGACAGCUUGAAGAUAUAUAUUUACAAGAAACAAAAUGUAUCAGUUCAAUUGUCUAAUUCUACGUAUCCAGCAAUACAGACUUUGAAGGUGAUGGUUGGCAGGUUUCAGAGAUUCUUUGUGUGAUGAUCCUGUCUCUAAUUAAUUUCUUUGUUUUUCUUCUCCUUUUCCAUCCCAUAACGGUCUUGAAACAGAAAUACAAGUGACGGUUAUUAUUCAAGAUAGCCAAUUUUUUGGUGGGUAGUUUACUAUUUUUAUUAAUUUUUUCAAUGGUAAUCCUAUUUUUAUUAUUUAUAUAUUCAAUAGAAAGUAUUUAGUGGUCACAAAUCGAAAAUAUCCUAAAUCAAAGUGCGUAGGUGAGUUUAUAUUUACUGGUGUUGGCCUCUGAUUAUUACAUAUGUUUUCGAAAUUACAAUGAUAAAAAUACAGGUCUAUCGAUACAACUUAUACCUGGCAUAUAUUUAAACUCAGCAAGGGAAAUUACCAAAACAAUCCUACACAUAUUCAUUAGUUCUUGUUGUCCUUUCAACUUUCCCUUCAAGAUUGUGUCGGGCCCAAAAAAUUUAUGCCCCACUUUAAUAUUUCUCAAACUUUCAGUUUGUAAAAAAGAUUCAACCUUUUUUUAUGAAAAGAAAAAAGAAAUCUAUUUAGAUAAUACGUAAUAUAUUAGGUUUAAAGUUGGCAAAGCAUCGAAGUCGUUGUAGUAUAGUGGUGAGUAUUCCCGCCUGUCACGCGGGUGACCCGGGUUCGAUCCCCGGCAACGGCGAUUGUUUUUUAAUUUUCAAAAAGCCCUGAAGAGCAGUGCUUCGAAAAUGGAACUUUUCUUUUUCUUUUUUUGCACUUGCACUAAACGGUAUUUACCAAAAUAGGUUUCCUUGAAGCUUACUUAAUAUAAUAUGGCAAUGUACUAAUUAGAGGAUCAGUAGAAAUAGCCAAAGCGCUAUACCUUUUCCUAACAUCCAAUGAAAUGGAAGAGAGAUGAAAACACUGCACAGUGGAAUAACACAAAAAAAAAAAAAAAAAAAAAAAAAGAGAAAUCUGCCACUAUCCACUUGCAAUACAAAUUAUGAGUCUCUAUUUUUGCUGUGUUUUAAGGCAAUCUAGAUGAAAAUUGGUUUUGCUGAGAAUCACUUGGAACAAAAACCGGAAGUUGGCCACCCCUCUGUGAUCUGCUUUGCUGAUAAUGACUUGACAUCGAUCCUCUGUCCACGCCAGGAGCCACUGAACUACCACUUCUUGUCCCUCUGCUUAGCGGCUCAUUCACAAGAGGGCCGCCAAAGAAUAUUGAUUGAUCUGUAUACAAAAGUUCUGCUCCAGGAACCUGAGAAGAACCAGCAACUCUGGAAGAAGAGGAGACAAAACGUCCAGCUUGGGGAUCCCAAUAAACUGAAGUUCUCAAAUUUUCCAUUGCACCCAGGUUUCUUCUCAUCGGAAUUUGAGCCACAUUUCCUUGGGGGGCAUUCCCAUUUGUUUCACUUCGUCUUGCUGACAAGGGGGAUUGAUCUGCUGAUGAUUGAUAAAUUGGGUUGAAGUGGUCCCUGUUAGAAUUUUGCUGCUGCGGUGGAGAAGUGGCAAGGUUGGAGACAUUAAUACUACUGUAAUUACUAAGACUAUGAUUGCAUGUUUCAAUAUCAUCCCUGCUAGCAUGACUAAUGUUGCUGGGUGCAUAUGAAUUGCUCCUAGAAGGAGAUAAUCUUGAUGUCCCUGUUCUAGCAUUUCUACUAUGAAACCCUUGAUCGGUACUGACUGGACUGCUCCUUCCACUAACAUUGCUGCUAGACAAAUGAUCAACAUCAUACGGAUGAUGUUGAGAACUUACGGGUCGUAGCACUGAUGAUGAUGCUCGAGCCUUCGCACCUGCUUUAAUUGCCUCAUUGGAGUCCAAUUUUGCAAGUUUCCAGGCACUGAUUCGAACUGGGCGCUGUGGUAGUUUUUUCCCUUUGUCAGCUUCCUGUAUUGCAUCUGGGUCAACUGUAGAUGGUAAGCGUCCUGGCUCCAAAUGUGGAAUAAUUUCAUCCUGCUUAUUCAAGAUCCAAAAGUAAUCAAAUUGUAACCUCAUUGUCAUGAAGGCUAGUGAAAGUGAAUUUGAAAAAUGAAAAUGCAUGAGAUAGAAUGAUGAUAUGCUCAAUUUCAAGUUGUUCAGUGAAAGUAUUUCAAUGUGAAAUAAAUUUUAAUUUUUGCAUUACCUGGUGGUCCAUGAAGAUUCUCGGAGGAGUACACCAUGCCCCUUUAUAUUGCAAGCUCAUUCCAAUAGAGCUUCUUCCACUCACUGCAGUCACAGCUGAACUUGUUGGUGAAGAUGGUAGACUUUGCUGAUCUCCUCCAUCUACAGAUGGUCCCGGUGGUUCACUUUGAGUUCUCAUGGCAACAACAUACUCGUAUGUUGUGAUACCCUGCAACCAUAAAACAAAGGAUUGCCCAUAUUUGACUAUCAAGAAAGGCAUACAGUCAAAACAGAUGGAAGCGGAAAGGAAGUGAGGGUAGGCGCACCUUCCGAAUGAGAAUCAUGUGAAAAAAGAACAGUUCUCCCAAUGGCACAGUGGCAAGGAAAGACACAGCUGUGCACACAGCCUGUAGUCAUUAUAGAGUUAAUCACAUGUAAUAUGACUUUACACAAAUAUAAGUUAUCUUGAAAAUGGCAGUAGCAUAUUUCAACUCUUCUAGGAACUCUGAAUUAUAGAUACAUCUACAGAAGAUUUUAACAGGGAUCAAAUAUAAAAUUUUCAAUUCAUGAUUCCAGAAACAAGCAAGGAAAGUCAGCAAUAUGACUCAUAGUCAAGUCAUGAUAAAAAAGUGAGGAUUGCACAUGCACAGCCCUGCUUGUAAUUCCAACAACAGAACCGAGAGUUCAAAAUUUGCAGUAAAUGCUACUGCAGUAAUCUCUUUUUCUGGAUUCUUUUUCAAUCUUUUCAUAUUAUCCAAAUACAAAUGUCCCUAGUCAGGUCAUUUCUCUUGAAGAGGUGACAUCAAAUACAUUGAUCAGCCUACUCAUUUCCAGGUCAGUGUAUCAAUGUGUACAAUGCCUCAACCUCUGUGAUUCCAAUCAAAUAAUCAAAAAUAUCAGUUGGUAAAUAUCUGCUAAAAGUUGGGAAUUUACCACCACAGUAGCAAAUGGGGGCCGGGAGAAUCCUAUGCCAAGCUUAUCUGCUAUUUGAUGUUCCAUACCCCUUCUAUCUACAAAGCAUCGAACAAGAACAGCAACACCAACACCAAAUUCAACAACAAGCUGGCCAAAUGCAGAUACAAGUACAUGCAAGAAAAAAUAAUAUUUCAUUUGAAUUUUGAGGAAUCUAACAGAUACAAACAACUAAAAAUUGAAUAAGAAUAAAAACUAUACAUAAAAAAGUUUAUCUAAAAUUUACCCAAACAAGACUAGUUGCCAUCAGGGACACAAAAGUGAUGUAAUUUUUCCUCCCUACGCAAUUGUUCAACCACUGCACCAACAAGAGAUGUUUCAUUAACCCAAUAAUGCCAAAGGCAAAGAGAAAGGUAACUGAAUGUGGAGAAACUAAUAUCCUGUUUAGAAAACAUAACAUGGACACUUUGAAGUGAAUCAAAAUGAACAGCGUAUGUGGGAUUUGUGAGUCUCUUACAAAAUUUUCAGAGAUUGCCCAGGUAAAAACUAGCAUCAGUAAGUAAUCAAAGAUAAGUAUCCCUUCUAAAUCAUAGCUUGAGACAUUAAAAAUAACUCAAUGAUUUUGGGCUCCAUGAGGGCUGGGAGGAUGCAUGCUAUAUCUUACCCGGCAAUGGUGAUCAAAUCCAUCAACACAUUUGUCACAGCUUCUACAAUGUUUGCUGAACUUGCGUACCUAGCAAAAAAUGAAGUUAGCAACAUCCUCCUACAUUACAAGAGGAAGAAGAAGAAGGAGGAGGAGGAGGAGGAGGAUGGGGAGACGGAGGGCACUUAGUAUAUACACUCCUAAUAAAAAUGUUACUGUUCUCUCUUUUCUGUAAUGAAUUAUGAAUACACCUGACUAUAUUCCUAUAUACCUGCACUUCAGUACCUACGCAUCAAAAGUUCUAAGAAAGAUUGAUCACUAUAAGAUCAUCUGAAAAAAAAAAAAAAAAUACUACUGAAAAGUUGCUCAACACGCUGCAUGAACCUUCCACAUCAACUAUGGACAAGUAACCUAACCAGGGAUCAAGGAGUUUAUCAACUUUCUGAAAUUCCCCUGCUAAUUUUAUUUCUUCUUACUAGUUUCCUCCUUUCUCUGGGUUCGUGAGUGUGUUUGUGAGCCCAUCUUGUGAAGAAGGUUGCAGGGGCUUUUGAUUGUGGGCAAUUGAUAUAAUGUUCACCAGAAUAAAUACUGUACCUCAGCAUUGCACAAUGUGCAGAAUAAAGCCUCCUCUAGAGAUUGUUGCUGAUGAAUAUCUUCAUCUCUGCGGCAAUCUUGUUUCACAAGAAAACCACAAAAUAAACAUCCAAGUUUUGAACACCAACUUGAACCACGUUUACUUGAUUUUCCUCCAUCCUUUAACCUUAUCUUGCCAGGUUCUUCAAUAGAAGAUGCAUGUCCUGGUUGAACACCAUAAAGGCUUUAAUCAGAUAUUAAAAAAAAUACAAAGAGUUCGAAGGAGUUCCUAUCCACAAUCAAUUGUUCCAAAAAAGGAGAAUAAGUUCCAUAAUCACUUUAUUCAAAAAUGAUGGCACCAUGUCUUUGUCAUUCAAGUGACAAAAUCAGACAACUUUUCAUACUGGAUUUUAUCCUUUCUGACGGUCCAAAAGGAACUUGUUAAGGUGUUCUGGUCACCUUAGAUUCUAAUAAACAGCACAUUAACUAGCCAAUGAUGGACUCUAGUCAUCAGUAUUUCUAAGUAAUGUAUAUGUACUGCAGUCACACUAACCAGGCAGAUCUGUGUCAUUUUGUGACUUGUUUGCUGCUGCAUCAUCAGCUUCAAGUAGAAUGCCUGGAUCAGCAGGAUCAAUAGCAGUGCAUCGUACAUAAAGGAUGAACACAGCAAGUGCCUGGUAAUUAACCAGAAAAGGGAGAAGAAACAAAAGAAGAUGAUGAAAAGGAGAAAGAGCAAGGGAAUUUAGAUCUAUUAAUAAAGAAACUGGGGAAAAAUGAAAUGUACUUACCAAGACAGAAUAAACACCAACAGCCACAUAUUCAUAUAUAUCCUUCCCAAGAAAGGGUGCAAAGAAGGCAUAAUAUGCAACAGAUAGCAAGAAGAAGACUGUUAUAGCCACAAUCUGUGCACCAUGAAAAGACAUUGAAAAUCAGAAUAUUGAAACAGUAAAGAGAAGGAGAUCAUCACAGUUAUUCCUAAACCUCACAAAAAGAUAAAACCAGCAAACUUUGAGGAAAAAUGAGUGUUGACUUGUAAUGACUUAUACUUCUAUUAUUCCAUACUUACGUUCCUCUUUUUUUUUCCUUAUACAGUUGGGGAAAAGUAUUUGGACACCAGAAAAAGAGCGACUACCAACUAUACUAUAACUUGACAAAUGAUUCCAUCUUUCUUAAUUAGGACAUCCCUUAUGCAAAUUGAUUUACUUUUCUUAGUCCAAAUCAGAGAUCUAAGAUGUCAACUGCAGUAAAGCACAAUCAUACAAACUCAACAACUUAGCUCAAGAGUCAAAAUUUCAAUUUCAGUUCACGAGCUAAUUUAUCUCAGCAACCCGGCAAUUGUCAACAAAAAGUCAAAUAGUUCCUAUUAGAAUGGUAAAGUGCCUCGUUCCAAAAGCACCGAGUCCUUUUCAAUAUUGGGUUAAUCAAAUCUGUCAACAUAUUUCUAAUACAGAUGCUAUCAUAUAAAAAUUAUUCAUGAACAGCACAGCAUAUAAAAAUACUCAGACCUAAUUUUCUUGCCACUAGACAACUAUUCAAGCAUGAGCAGGAAAAAAAAAGAGAUAGAAGAUAAAUUAGAAAUAGAAAAAGAAUAAAAGCAAAUCCAACUACAUCAUAAUUAGGAGAAAGAAAUGCAUAUAGAUGGCAACCAAUAAAAGCACAAUAACUAUGCAGCGGCUUCAGAUAUCAAACACAAAGCCUAACUAGAAAAAGAACCCGUAAAAUUACAACUCAAAAGUCCCAAAACAAAAACCCACAUUUCUCUUCUAAUUUGAACAACUGUAGCAGAUGAAGAAGAGACAUAUAGUACCUGAAAAGUAUGGACAGGGAGUUGCCAUCCAUGGCGUCUUGCCAUAAUCAAAAACCCAGUCCAAACUCGUUAAUCAACACUACCUACACUCUAAAACCACCAUUCCAACAACCAAAAGCCGACUAUAGUUUAUAACAGAACCCAAAAUAUAGAAAUUCAUAAAAACAUUUGAAAUAAAAACUGGCGCAUUCUUGUUUUGUACAGUUCAGUUCCUGUUCAAUCUGUCGACCCAGAUGCUAACAGGUCAAUUUGAAGUUGAUUUUGAGCAUCUAUAGAUAAAUUGAAUUCAUUGGUAAAAGAGACUUGAAGAGAAGAACCGGAGAAUAAAAGACUGUUUAGACCAUUCUUGGAGUUGAAUUAUAACCGUUCGGUAUUAUUUAAUAAAUCAAUGUUUUUGCUGGUAUGCUACCGUAAUUUUACCUUUUGCAUUUUGGGACCAAUAAAAACCCAAUUUUGCAAAAGCCUCCCACUCUAUUUUUGUUAACAUUUAUCAUACCACUCCCUCCCCAAAUAUUUAUCAUAAUCGAGAAAAUACUAUAUUUUUAAAUAUUUAUUAUAUUUAUGAAUUUAAUAAAUAAUAAAUAAUUUUUUCAUUUUUAUCAUGUGACCAAAUAUUGUAAAUUAAGAAUAUUAUAAUCGAUUCACUCAAUAAUUUAUUAUAAUUUAAUUUUCUUAAGAGACAUAAAAUAUUAAAAUAUGAUAAGUAUUUACAAUGAGAGAGAAUAACAGUAUCUAAUAUUGCAAUUUUUAAAUAUUUACGGUAGAUCGACUAAAGUGGUACUUAAAAAAAAUCAUAUUUAUAUACCAUAAUUUACACAUAUCGAAAGUUUGACUUUACAUAUUUUAACUGUAACGAGUAUGAGAAGAAAGCAUUUCUAGCGGAAAUUUUCUUCAUUCACAAAAAACAAAACACUUGACCUCUUAUCUUCAGAACCAACCCAUAUUGGUUCAUUCCCACUAAUUUAAUUGCAUAUUAAUUAUAUUUGUAAUUUGUUAGCAAAAGAAAAAAAAAAUUGUAGGACACUUUUGGAUUAAUUAGGGUUUCAUUGAUUAAUAGUUAUGUUGUCAAUGUCAUUUAUUAAAUUUGUAUUAAAGAAGCUAAAGAGAUUUCAUUAUCUAAAGAGAUUUUUCUAAUUGGAGUUUAACCAAUAAGAAAGGAAAUUUUCUAAAAUUCAGCAUUCUCCCAAGAAAGAAAUCAAAUUUUCAAAAUUUUCCUUUUAAAAUAUACAUUGAUUUUAGAAAUAAAUUAUUCCAACUAAUAGGUUUCCAAUGUUUUACUCUUCCAAAAAAAAAAAAUGAAAAUUUGAAUUCAAAAUUCCUUUUUCUUAACAAUUAUGAGAGAGAUCUCCUAAUGCAUGACCAAUUCAAAUCUCAAUGGUUGAAUAUCAAUAUUCAUCUCAACAACCAUGAUAUAAAUCUUAAAAUUCUAAAUGCAUCCCCAUUACUUUUUAGAAUUGCAAAUUGGUCCUAAAUUAGGAUUGGGAAAUGGGAAGCUUCUUCCAGUAAAUGUAGAUAAAUUAUAUAAUAAAAUAUGAAAUUUGACUUGAGUAGAUGCUUAGCCUAAUUGAGCUGUCUAUGCCACUCUGAACCAUUAAACUAUUAAUGGUUACUGUUUUAUUAAACAUGCACUUAGAUUUUUUGCAUUCUUUUUAUUGCAAAUGCUUUCAUGAUAAGUAAUUUAAUUAUUUUUUAAUAAUCUAGUGGGAACAUAAACUUUUGAUUUUCUGUUUAUUUUAUUAAUUUGCAGCUUGUCUUAUUAAAUUUAAUGAUUUUUAUUUACAACCUUUGGUUUCUUUUAAUGACAGCAAAGUUUCAUGUUUAUAAUAUUAUAAUGCUAUAAUAUUAAAUAUGCAAUUUCAAAACAUUAUCAAUAAUAUAGGUCUGAUGGCCGAAAUUAGUGAAAACUCUUAAAAAUGAGAGUACUCGAAUUUGAAAAAUUAAUCAAAGAACAUAUUUUUCUUUUCAAUUAACAUAAUAUAUAUAUUCAUCGAUUUAAAUUUUUUAUUAUAAAACAUAAUGAUUUUUAUUUUGCAAAGAAGUAAUGGGUUUGCUUAAUAUGUAUUCAAAUGAUGGAAGAAUAAUUAAUGGCUGCAUGUUUUUAAUUUACAAAGUAGAUUACCAACCAUGAAUUAUUUAUCAUUUUUUUAACAUUUAUUAAUAUUUAUUACAAUUAAUAAAUUCAUACACUUGAAAUUAAUUAUCCAAAAAAAAAAAAAAAAAGAAUCAAUGAAUUCGCAGUAGUUCUUUUUUGUCUAUCAGAUUUAUAUGAUGUACAAAACAAAACAAAACAAAACAAAACAAAAAUUAAAGGAAACGCAUAAUACUUUUGUAUUCUAAUGCUUCAAAUCCUAACAAAAGAAAAAUCAUUAGUCUGUGGUUCUUGAUCAUUUUUUCCCUGAUCCUCUUGUUUUCUUGAUUCACGUCCAUGGUGAGAAGAUCCUUCAGUUUCCGAUAGCUCGGAGAAGUCAGUAUCUGAUCGGUAAGAUUUUGGAGAGCUUAUGACACUUUCAACGUCUCUUUGGCUUGAACGGUACUUGUGGCCGUGAAGCAAAUGGAUGGGUGAUGCACCUUGGCUUGGCGUCGUUUCACCGCUCAUAAAACCCGGAGAACUAUUUCCCCCACCGCAUGUUCCUGCUUUUCUUGCUUUCUUUCUUUGCUUUGCAGCCUUCUGCCAUUUUCUAAGCGCUUUCGCUGUUUGUUCCUCAAAUAUCGAUUGUUUCAUGUGCGAACCCAUCUGCAAAUCAAAACCCAUGUGCAGAAAUUAUGGAUUUUUGAAUCUGGGGGGAACUUCUUGAAUUUAAAAAGAAAAAAAGAAAAAGCAACUCACUUGUGUCACCAGUGCAUAGAGAGGGAAGGUUAUAUAGCUGCAUACGAUCUGAAGGGCCACUCCAAGGCCAACCCUCACUAAAAUGGCUGCCAGGUUUUCGUGGAAGCAAGAUUUCAACCCAAACUCAUACUGUAUAUUGUUACAAAUAACUUAUUAAAAUUAGGGAAUAAGGUAAAUUAUAGGAAAGGAAGAAUAAAUAUUACUUACCCAUGUCCACAAGAAAAAUGCCAUCUGAAACGCAUUCUGCGCAUUUGAUGAAUUUAUAUUAGUUUGAUAUGAAUUCUUAGUUUGUAAUCUUGAAGUUAUUGAUUAGUAAUGUUGACCUGAAACAAAGUGUAAUGAAGUAAGAAGAGAAUCCACUGGGGUCGAUUAAACCAGAAGUACUUGUUGUUAGGCUCAACCACUGGAGCUCCUCUGACAACUGUAGUUCUGGCUUGGAUUUCUUGAGCCAUCUCCAUUAUAACAAGUUCAAGUUUAGUACCCACCAGAAGAAGUAUCUGUACCAGAAGACAUGACAAGAAGUUAAGGACAAAACAAUACAUGGGUUUCUGUCCGUCGACCGAUAUAUAAAGUUAAUAACCAUCAUGUCUUACGAUGAAUGGCACUAUUGUCAGCCAGGUAAGUGUAUACCAUCCUGCAAUGUUCAGUCAAAAAAUGGGUAUCAUAUACGUAUGUGACAGAGAGAAGCAGCAAAAAGAGACACAGAGAGAGAAGCAGAGGGAUUUAGUGAUUUACUGUAAACAUUUAGCAGCAAAAAGAGGACGGCAAAAACCCACAGUGGGAUGCUGUAUAAAUCAGAAUGAAUAGUUUUAAGUGCUGAAGCCCAAAUAAUAAACAUUUAAACUGCAGGAAUUUGAGUUCAUUGAGGAUUAAUAUGGAAAGACAGAGAUAAGACAGACCUAAUACCCACAACCACCUUAAAAUCAUCUUCCAUGCAUCUUUUUAUGUAUUUGUGGAAGUCAAAUUUGCUAUUUGGAGCAAAAUGUGCCUGAAGUAUUAAUUAACAUCUUCUGUUAAUUUCGGUUAAUUACAAAUAAAAGCGAACAAGGGUAUUUCUGAUCACAGAAAAAAAAAAUUGAACGUUAACAUUUUUUAAAAAAAGUUCUUUUUUUGAUUCUAUGAUUUAUGGGACUACCCAUAUACCUGGUGGAUGCAAUUAUUUUCCAUAAAUCAAUUACUCACGUUAAUAAAUCCAUUUCGCAUAGUUAAAUAAUCCACCUUGUUCACCGAACCAAAAAAUUGCCUAAAGAAUGCAACCUGCCAAAUAAGCAUUUAGAACUAAAUGAGAUCCAGUGUAGGCAAGAAAUUUCGAUCGGACUCGUAAAAAUAAACUCACAAUCCAUCUGAUCCCAGGUGCUGUAGAGAUGCCAGAAUGACGUUUCACAAAGGAAGUCUGAUGGGCCAAUCUAAAUCUUGAAGGAUCUGCAAAAGUUAGAUAAAACAUUGAACUUUGUUAGCUUGGCUCAGUCACAGCUCUAGUCAACUUUAGAUAUCCAAGAAUUCCAAUUAAAUGUUAAAAUAAUUAAGAAUCACCAUUAGUGAACUGAUACUCCAAGGAUGAGGUUUCUGAUUCCCAAGUCUUCCAUUUCUUCAUCUGAUCAAUAAACUCAAUCCAAGUUCUUACAUUUAUUCUAGAAGAAGACAAUGGUUAAUUUUUGUUUACAGAGCUAAUUAAUCAAGAUUAAGGAACUUACUUUUGCUUGUGCCAGUGCCAUAGUGAGGACACUGUAGAGAACGUGAAAAACGGCGAGGACAAAUAUAAAUAUGUGUAGUUGAUGCACUCCUGUUUGCGAUAUCAACGGCACUUUAUCCUAAAUAUGGUUCAAGAAAUGAAGAUGAUAAGUAAGUUUUAACAAGAAAUGUUUAAGUACGGCCGGCUUGAUUAAUUACCUUUUUGUUGCAAUAAUCAUCACCACCGCCUGCGGCUGCCAAAACACGACGCCAAACUACAUUUCCAGCAAGAGAAAGUAACUUUCUCCGGCGAUCAUUUCCAUUAUCGUCAUUGCCGUCUCCUUCGUCGUUAUUGUCGUAGUUGGUUUUACAUGGGAGCAUGUCGUCUCCAUAUUUGGCAGGGAUGCAUAUUUUUGCAAUAUAUUUUGUACCCACAGUAAGUAAUAGAGAUAUGAAGCCUAAUAGCAUUAAUUCUGCAAAACGGCAAUAAUAUUAGAUUGCAUCUUCUUCAAUAACAAUAAAUGUUUACAAAACAAAAAAACUGACCUGCUUUUAUCUUCUCCAGAGCUUCAGUCAUAGCCUUGUUAUGUCGUUUUUGAAACCACUGUAUGUUAUACAAAGAAUCCAAGAAAAUCAGGUAAAGAUAACUCAAGAACGGAUUAUAUAAAUUAAAUUUCAGAAUUUACCCACCUUUUCCAAUGAAUGAAUUCCAUGCUCAAUAAGAAUUGAAAUGAUCACGAACACUGCACAAACAAGGGCUAAAGCCCAUGUGGGUGUUUCCUGCAGGGACCUAUCUCCAGCAGGAGCAGCAGCCAUGUUUAAUGUUCGAAGAACUUGCUAAUGUCUAUGCAUUUAAUAUAUAUGUAUUUGUACAUAUCAGACAGAAAUGCCAGAGAUAGCGCGUAGAAUCCCACCAUAAGACUCUCAACUUGUCACAUACUAGUUUGUAGUUUUUCGUAAUCUAAUUAUAUCAACAAUAGCAUAAAAACUUAACAAUUGCAAAAUCAAAGCCGGCAGCAAGUGCAAAGACUUAAAACGUAGAAUGUUAUAAAUCAACGUAACUACAGAACAUUAGCCGGCUAAUAUGCCUCUUACAUUUAUAAUUAACUUACUAAAAGAAUCUCCAUUUUAAUUUUUUUUUUUUUUAGUUUACAUCAAAGGUGUUCCUAGUUCGUUUGGCGAAGUAAUCGUGUUCGGGUCACAUUAAGCGCAUAAGGGAAGCCAAAUGCUUCCACGAAGAUUUUCUCUAUCCACAAGAUUGAACAAUCGACCUAUUAUUUGAGGGACUAGCAGAGAUUUCCUUUUUUUUUUUUUUAUGUAAUGGAGAAUUAUUAGGAAUUAAUUAAUAUGGAAUAUCUUAAUUACUCUUUGACUUAUAUAAUUGGAGCUAGGAUUAGUGCAUUUUGUUCUUGUCUUUUUUUUGUUUUCCAAUAGGAUGAAUGGAUGAUUGGGUGGUUUAGAAGACAUCAAAGUUCUCUUACAUUGUCUUUUCUGUUCUUUCUACCUGAAAUACCAAUCACUUUUGAAAUUCAUUUUGUUUUCUUUUUAUAUUUUAAUCCACAAGAAACCAUUGAAGCAAUUUUUCCCAAUAUUAUGGUAUUGAGUCAUGGACUAUUUACUUGACUGAGUCUUCAAAUAUUCCAUAUUUUAAAUUAUUUAUCCAUCCAAUUGAGUUUAAUUAUUUUAAAAUAUAUUAAUUUAUUAAACGUUUUACUUGAUUAAAAAAUUUUAAAAAUAAACAUUUAUUAAUAAUAUUAUUAAAAAAUUGCAAGGGAGAAUUGUUUGAUACGUGGACUCGAUUGGGCCCAAAUAAAAGAUGGAGGCCGACAUUUUUUUAUAAGCGUGAUUAGGGCCAGAGAGGCAAUGGCCCACGAACUCUUUUAAGUGAAAGAAGACGGUGAAGAUGAACGGCAGAGAAUUCGAGAGUCCAUUAUGGAUCUGUUGAUUAGAACACAGCGUAUCAUUCAUCUGUCUGUAAGUGAAGCUUAGUUAUCAUCGAUAAUUCACAUGAUUUAGUUUCUUCCACCAAGCGUCAAAUUUAAUUUCUCCGCUUAAACCACUUCCCUUCGCUCUCUCUCGUUCUCUCAACAAGAACAAGAACAAUGACAGCUAUUUCGAAUUCUUUGGUUCCAACGAGAAAUCCUGGGGUUCAUCCUUCACCUGGUAAUAUUGCUCUCUUCAUCUUCCAUUUCUAAUUCGUAAUUCUUAUUUUCUUUAAGCUUUCCAUUUGCUUACUCUUAUUAGAUCUAUUUCUCUUUAAUUAUUUGUUUAGUAUGCUAGAUUGAUAUAAUAGGGAAGAAAUAGAAGUGUUUUUCUUUUUCUGGAACAUGCUUUAAACAUGGUAUGUGAGUGAGAAAGCAAUUUUUAGUAUAGAUACUGUUGUUUCUGAAAGUUAAUUUUUAAUUAAUGUGUCUUGGCUUAGCUCCAUGGAUGAAUAUACAACCAGUGGAAAAUGUUUCCCUAUCAGUACACCAAUCAGAUCAUUCAGGUUUUCGUGUCAAUGAACUGCAUACGUAAUCAUAUCCUCUAGUCAUAGCAUCGAGAGUCUAUCUCAUGGGUCAUAUUGCCAUAUUUUCGCUUAUACGAGACCAGAAACUGAAAUUUCUUUAUUGCUGUCUAGUCUAAACCAUUUUCUAGAGCAUGGUAUCUUCUUUCAGUGUUUGUGAUAUUUUGUCUUUGAAAAGUCAUAUUCAGGAUGUUCUUAUGAUUGCUUAAAAGUUUAAGGCUUAGUAUAUCUCUGCUUUUAACUGCACAUCGGCCUUCACGAUCUGUUUCGUUUUUGAAUAUUCUGAAUUCAACCUUCUGUUCAAUUCUUUUCCAAGGCUCACUGGACAACCGUCUCCAGAUUACUGCCCCUACCAAGUUGUCAUUCAGUGUGAAUUGCCCAGGAAAAGUGCAAGUUACUACCUCCAGAAGGCCGCUCACAGUUAAAGCAGCCAAUAGGUACCAUUAUUCUUUAUGAUACAAAUGCAAUAUUAACACAUAUUUGAGAAUUGAGAGAUAUGAAGAUGCUUCUUGGAUGGUGGAAAGGCAUUGUUUUUUUUUUUUUGGGGGGGGGGGAAAAUAGAAGAAGGGCUAAAAUCUCGUGCUGGCAGAAAUUAAGGUGUUCUCACUUGAACUGCUAGUUAUCCAGACUUAAAUAAACAAAUUAAUAGUAUUUUGUGGGAAAUGGAAAUCAUAAAUUCAAUAAAGGCCAGCUGACAUUCUGUUAGUUGAAUUUGCUUUGUUUGUUCUUGUUGAGCAUGCUGAUAUGUGCAUUUAACGUUCUCUGAUCCUUUUUCAUUUUACUUUUUGCUCUUUGAUUUUUACAGUGAUGGUGGCAGGCCAAGCAGUGCGGGAAUCUUUGUUGGUGGCUUUGUUUUGGGAGGACUUAUAGUUGGUGCACUUGGUUGCGUAUAUGCUCCACAGGUCUAAUUGAUUUUUCUGUUACUGUUAUGUCUUGUAAGGAUUAUGUGAAGUAUUUUGUCAGACCACCUCACACAGGAUUUUAUCAUCAGUGGAAUUUCUUUGAUAAAAUAAAUGGAUGAUAUAUAAGUUAGGUCAGCCAUUAAGAUAGUUCAUAACAUCAAAAUUUUCUAUUUCUAGAAUUUAUCAUAGAUGCUCCAUCAAUUUAAAAAGUAAUAUUAAAAGUCAUUUGCAGCAACAACUGAAUCUUUUUACUUACACUGUACAGAUUAGCAAGGCAUUAGCUGGUACUGACCGUAAAGAUCUUAUGAGAAAACUCCCUAAGUUCAUCUAUGAUGAAGAAAAGGCUCUGGAGGUGAACUUUUGCUCUAGUUUGUGCCUGUUUGCAAUUAAUUCCUGGUAUAUUAACACAGUGAAGUGGCCCAUGCUUUUAUCUGUCCAUAUUUUCUUGUAGUUUUAGCUUUUAAUUUGUUCCCCUUUUCUUAAGAACAGUGUUUUUUGUAACCCAAGUGGCAGUUAACAAAGUUAUUUGAAACCUUGCUGAACUUUGAUGUUGUUCUUACUUCCUAUAUGUUUCCUCGAGUCCUGCUCUGUCAAUGUAUUCAUUAAUAACUGUCCUGAAGAAGAUUAGAUGUUUGGAAGUGUCUUGAUUGCCGCAUGUGUUUCUCUUUUGAAAGCCAGUGCUUAACUAAGCAUCUAACGAGAAAUUAUUUUAGCGUGUUGGUUGUUAUAUGCUGCGUCCUCUUCUUUCUGACAAACAGCACAUUCUUUGGAUUUAUUGAUUUGCAGAAAACCCGAAAGGUAUUAACUGAGAAGAUUGCACAACUGAACUCUGCCAUUGAUGAUGUUUCUGCCCAGCUCCGAUCAGAAGAUGCCCCAAACGGCGUGGCAGUGAACUCUGAUGAAAUUGAAGCUGCCGUAUAAGAUGAACACUGUUUAUGUUGCAGUAUACCACAUCUCACCGACUAGUUAAAAAAUAAUAGCCAAACUCAUUUUGAUGUUUUCUCCUCUUAGUGAGCAAAGUUAUUUUCGCUCAACUGUAUGUCGCGUGGUGGCUCAAGUGAGUAUAUAUAAUUUGACUUUUCUGAUGCACCAUUUGGACCUGAAUGCUCCCAACACUACCUGUAAUUUGGUCCCUGGAUUGCAUGUCAUGAAAUGUGGGGAAAAUCUAUGGUUUAAUGCCUUAUAAUAUUCCUUGGCACUAAAUUAACAAAUCUCCUAAAAGUCUGAGAAUUCCUUUCUUGCCUGAUCUCGAAUUUGUGGCCGAACUUUCACGCAUGUAAAUUUCUGGAUUGCACUACGUUCCAAAAGCAGGAUGAUGGUAACUAAAUUUUAUGAACAAACAAAUUCUUAAAAGUGGUUCAAGGUUAAAAACAGAAAAACCUACGAAGAGUAUAUCCAUGGCUGUUGGAUUUCUAGUUCAAUGACAUUCAGCUUGGAAUCAUAAAAAAUGAUUGGAGAGAGAUGGACCAUAGCUAUUUUCACACAGCUUCUGAAAACCCCAUACGUCCUUAUGUCUAGUCUUCUUUUUUCCAACUAGAUAUUCUCUGUUUUUGAGUGUUCUCCACCGCCAUUCACAAUGGUACUCCAUCAUCCAGAAAAAAUAAAGGCGAAAAAUUUACCGUAUGGGACACAUUUGAUGUGGGGCACUCAAAUAGUUCAUGAACUACUUCUGACCAUUGACAAUUGUGGCAAUUAGGACGUCUAUUGUUUUACCAACAUGGAAGAUUACAAAGGGCAAGUCAAAGAAAAUAUAGAAAUGGUGAAAAAUUCUGUGGUUCAGAAUCUGAAAAUUAAAGGCCUCAGCUUCACCUUAUCCCAUACGUAUCUUCAUGUAUAAUUAUCACCACAUAUUCAUCUUAACUUACUUGCAACCAUAAUUUUAAUUUUAGAAGAAAGACACUCACAAAGUGAAAAUCAGAAUAACUGAAAAAAAAAAAAAAGUUGAAUUGUUUCUAUAUAUACAAAGGAAGUUGCUCUGUUAGCUUUAGUUGCAGCCAUGGCCACCCACGCAGCUCUAGCUCCUUCAAGAAUCCCGGCCAGCACCAGGCUUCCUUCCAAGACAACCUACUCUUUCCCUAGUCAAUGCUCCUCUAAGGUCUUUCUCUAUCUUAAUCUAUAUAAUUGAAUGUAUGAUAUCCUAUAGUUUGUGGAAUUUUUUUAACCUACUUCACCAUUGCAGAGGUUAGAAGUAGCUGAAUUUUCUGGGCUUCGAGCCACUUCUCAUGUAAGUUAUGCCAAGAAUGCUACUGAGGGAUCCUUCUUUGAUGUGGUGGCUGCUCAAAUGACUCCCAAGGUUUGCUAAACUAUGCCUACAUACUCUUUCUUUCUUCUUCUUUUGUUUCUCCAUAAGUAUCCUUACUUGAUCUAGCUAAUUAAGAUCCACCAUGCUCACCAAAUAGUUUGCAUAUUAGCAACAUAUACCAAAUGAAGUUUUUUUACGCUCCUCAUAUUUUGAACUAAAAUUUCACUCUCAGUGAUUACGAUUUUCAGUUGAGUAUCUCCUUCCAUUGAUACAGAGUAAUUAGGAAUUCAAAUCAUUACUUUUAGUGUCUCUUCUCCUCUUAAAUUGACUUGAGAUCAUCAGAUUGCAGUCAUAAAUGAUCAUGGUUUAUAGAUUAUGUUUCUUCUUAGGAAUUAUAUUUUAUGAGGAUGAGUUUGCAGUUUUUUUUCUGUGUACAUACUUUAAAUGAACAAAAUUUUUUGUAAUAUUAUGUAUUGGAAAUUAUUUCCAAAUCAGGUAGCAGCAUCAACUCCAAUCAGAGCAGAAACAGUAGCAAAACUCAAGGUAGCAAUCAAUGGAUUCGGACGCAUUGGCAGGAACUUCCUCAGAUGCUGGCAUGGCCGCAAGGACUCUCCCCUUGAAGUGAUCGUUGUCAAUGACAGUGCUGGUGUCAAGAACGUAAGGGAAACUAUAUUAUGAAGAAACUGAGAAAUUAACAAUUUCUAAUCAAAUAAUAAUUGACAAAGGAAGUUGCUCUGUUAGCUUUAGUUGCAGCCAUGGCCACCCACGCAGCUCUAGCUCCUUCAAGAAUCCCGGCCAGCACCAGGCUUCCUUCCAAGACAACCUACUCUUUCCCUAGUCAAUGCUCCUCUA
rnacentral:lncRNA from 1 species